AUUAAGCUGUACCAAAAUAUAUAUUAUAUCUAACAGAUUAGGAAAUAAGAAUCAGUUUGGGAACGUUUGUCUAACUAAGUAUAUAUAAUGUCUGUCAUGAGUUUAGUUGAAGGAGCUCUUCCCUAAUGUAUAGGUUAUCUUGCAUCCCUUAUCCCUAAUGUGCAUUUGUUCAAUUGUUCACUUGUUUGUUUUUUUGUUUGCAAAAUAUGUUUUAAAAAGCUUUUCCAUUAUACAUAUAUGAAUAUAAUUUUUGAAGAUUAUGUAUUUCCGACAAAACAUUGAUUUUAUCGCGUAGUUAACACGAUCAUGAAUGGCUACUAGAUACUCUCGACAUUGAUGGUCGACGUGUAUAACUAAGUACCAUGUUUUCCGAUAAAGAGCUUACGUGUUACCUUAUUCUUUUCGUGUUAUUUUUUGGUUCGUUAUGUAUUUAAUGGUCUAUAAAUAAGGGAGGACAUGAGUGUUAAGAAUCAGAACCAUUUUGAUUUACUCUCAAACAUAUACUUACGUCCCUGGUCUCGAUCCUUUUGUUCAUUCAUUCCUUAAUGGUGAUUUUCUGUGGCAUGAAACCUUGUUUCUCCAAGUUGGUCAUGAAGGAAGACCAAGUUCCAACUCUCCUCUUUCUCUAUACAGAAAAUGAUGGAGAUGACGACGAUGACGAUGAUGAUGUAGCACCAGCAGCAUAGAGUGCAACAUUUAUAUAUGUUACGAAUAAGAGCAUACGUGUUUGAUACUUCAUCAUCAACAUGAGCUCACGAAGAUAACAUUUUACAGAAGUAGUAAGAUUCAUCAUCAUAUCAGCAUAUAUAUAUACAUAUGUACGUAUGCAGGUUUCUUAUAUGUCUAUAAAUCCCAAUAUAUUAAGAGGUGCAACUGUAUUGCAUCAUUUGCACGUAUAUGUAGAAAUGAUAUAUGUAAUAAGUACGUAUACGUACUCGUGUACUUGAGAUUGUUAAGAAUAUUAUUGAUCACGCUUUGUUGGUCUGUGUUUUGCUCUUCCACCUAUAUAUAUAUAUAUAUAUAUAUAUAUAUAUAUAUAUAUAUAUUACUUACUAGUAGUAGUAAGUAGUAGUAGUAGUAGUUACUUAUAUAAGUAGUAAGUAACGUAAACGUUAACGUAACGUAAAGUAAACGUAAAGUAACGUAGGAAGUAGGUAACGUAACGGAACGUAACGGUAACGGUAACGUACGUAAGUACGUAGUAGUUAGUACGACGUAACCGAACCGUACGUAACCGUAACGUAACGUAAGGUUACGGUACGUAAACCGAACUUAAACGUUUAACUUAAUUAAGUUAAGUUAAGUAAAGUAAGUAACGUACGUAACGUACGUUACGGUUAGUACGUUAACGUUAACUACGUACUUAACCUAACCUAAACCUUAAAACCGUAAGGUAACGGUUAACCGUACCCGUAAAACCGGAAACGUAAAACGUAAAACGUUUUAAAACUUUAAACGUUAACGUAAGUAAAGUAAAGUAAGUACGUACUACUACUACUAACUACUAGACACGUAUAUAAUAUAAUAACUAUAGUACGUUACGUUACGUACGUACGGUUACGGUUUACGUUUAACUUAGUUNUCGUAAUACUAACUACUACUUAAUUAAAGGUUAAGGUACGGUAACGAACGUAACGUUAGUUACGUACGUACUACUUAUUACUCGUACGUAACUAGUUAGUAAGUAAGUAAGUAAGUAAUAUUAAGUUAAGUUAAACGUAACGUUAACGUUAACGUACCGUACGUUACGUUACGUUACGUAGUAGUUAGUAAGUAAGUUAAUUAUUAGUACUACACUCGUUGUUGUGUGUUGUGUCUCUACUACUAUAUAUAUAUAUAUAUAUAUAUAUAUAUAUAUAUAUAUAUACCUUUAUACAGUGAAAUGAGUGAGAUCUUUACAGUAAAUUUGCAAGAAAGUUUCACAAGGUAUAUAGACAAGUAGAAUCCAAAACGUCAAUCUUCUUUCGAAUUAGCUAGAUGGAUAUAUACUCUUUUCGAUGUUUUGGUCAGAUAAGUCAUUCUAAUGCAAGCUCCAGCGUGUCAGAUGACACUGGAGAUUGGGAGUGUGCAUGGACUGUUCCAUCCACGAAUGGAAUGUGCAGCGCAGCUACUUGCCUUUUCGAAAAACGAAUGGUGAAUCCGUUCACCAUGCAUCCCUUUCGUGCUCUCGUUUUCGACACCAUAUCAAAGUAAAUAUCUCUGCAUAAUCAGUAAUUCCGGCAUUUCCUUAUAAAUAUAAGGUGAAGAUCUCCUAGCUAGCUUCAUAGAUUCAAAACAAACAAUGGCGAGUUGUCCUAUCAUGAGUUCUGGCAAGUUGGUUGAUGGCAGCAGGGUUCGGGAUCCGUAUCACUUCACCGGAAUCACGAUCUCUCUCCUCCAUGUUCAUGAAGAAAAUGACGAUGACGACUCCGAUGAUGAUGCAGCCAGUGUUGCUCCAGCCGCAUAGCUACAGAUCAGUUCUCCGAUUGGCAUGAAAUAUGCAUAUGCUACAGAUCAGUUUUCCCGAUUGAUAUACAUAUGAGCUAGCUACGUACUGCAGCUCCUGUAGCUAGUAAUACAGUCACUUCGUAUGUGCUUAGUUGUAUUAUCCUCUUCUAUCUCAGCUCUCUUUUUAGUCCAUGGAGAGUUGGGCAUAUUAUGACCAAAAGAAAAAUGAUCGUUUAGAGGUUGAUCGAUUAUUGAAUUGUUAACUAUCUAUCUUCCCCUACAAAGUCAAUAAUGUUAAAAAGAUUCACCAAAUUUUCGAUGUCCAAAAUUUUCACCUUCUAUUUGUGUAGUAGAUUUAUGUUAUUAUGUUCCGACACUUACCCCAUUAAUCAGAAUUAGGUUGAGUUUAGGGUUUAAACUCCAUGCAUAUACAUUACACUUGCCAUAAUUUAUGGUUGGUCCUAUAUAUAUGUUUCUGUAUGUACUCCUCCUCUUUCAUUUCUCGAAUAGAAGGGUUUUCUUCUCGAUGUAAAACUUCGCUAAACACCUAGUCCAUAACCGUCAAACAAGCUCAUGAGCAACAACCAAUACUGAGCAAAACAAUGCACUCAGUCACUCACAGAUAUAUUUCAUGUAAUGGUAGUAAACUAGUAAUAUAUGUGCAAGAAAAAAAUAAUUAAACACUCAAUAGUUUGCGCAUUCGUACGCGUUUCUAGAUCUGGCCUCGUGAAAUCGACUCCAUGUCUGUAACUUAUAGCAAUUUAGCACGGUUUUCCGGUCAGAUUCAAGCUCGAAUCCAAGCCUAACCCACCUCCAUCACUCACAGUACGUGCUAUAAAUAUGAGGAGCUGCUAAACCCUUCGCUUCAAAACACGAGCUAAGCUAGCUACUAUGAGUUUGAGUUUGAGAGAGCCUGAGAAGGUUGGAGAGAUCGAAGAAUCGAUUUUGCUGUUGGUGGUUUUUUCAUUCUCUAGCGAGCUAGCUUUCCAUUCGGUUCAUUUUUCUUGUUGAGCUUGGUCUUUGUUAAUCUGUGUUGUUCUUGUUUCUUACUGCAAGUAGUUAGGUUGGACAUGUAUAUUCAAUGGAGAAGUCGAGUGUGAAGAACUUGGAGGCCUGUGUUCGGUAACUGACCAGGUGAACGUUAUUGACCAAAUUAGAUAGAAAUUAAUGAAACAAGCAGAUCAAAUGAGACUAUUAAUGAGGCGCACGUCAAAUCGACAGUGUCCAAAUAUUUGGUUAAAAAAUGUGCAUUUACAAUGAUCAAAUUUAAAAGUAAGAGUUUGAUUAGUGGAAUCUAGAUGAUACAUUAGCAUGCAUAAGUACUAAAUUCCGUCACAAUUCUAAAUGACAAAUAAUUUCUCUCACAAGCAAUAUUUAUGAUCUAAGCAAUGACAAAAUUGUUCAUUACGCAUAAUACCGUUUGGUCUAAUGACCUUAGUUUUCUCUUUAUAGGUAAGAGGUUGUAUUUAACUUAAGAAAUACUAGUUGUAAUUUGAGUUAGUUGGUGUAAUGAACAAAUUUUUGUUGUUACAAUGAAGUUGUGUGACGAAGUUGCAUUUUAAAUCAUUCCGUCUAUAUGUAUAUAUCAUGUUAAGUGUUAUAAAACUUACUCACAUGCUAUUUAUGAUAUGAUCAACAAUGAGAUUAUUUUGUACAGUGAAGUUCCAUUUUGUCUUUUUUUUUUUUUUUCCUAACCAAGGAAAAUGUAGAAGACAAAAGAAGACAAAAGAAGAUAGGGGCCAUCAUUUUUACCAAGUACCAUCCCCUUCAGUUAGGGGCAACACAAGACAAAAGAAGAAAGGAGGUGUGCCAAAACUGAAAUGGCCUCAUUUUAUUUCUCUCUAGGCUUGCACGUUCGGCCCAAACAAGACUCGUUCUUAAAUCACUUCCGUCCAAUGCAUUCGGCAGAUUCAGUUUUAGUCAAUCUCACACAUAAAAGCUCCUCUGUUUUGGUGACUUGAUAUGAAAAUGGCGCAUGCAGAUCAAGCCGUCCGCGUUAUCCUGUGUCGCUGCCUGAAACUGGAAGUACAUUUUACAUGUUCAACGUGUACAACGUAAGGACCAUGUUUCAUGUUUCUAACUUCUCUCUUCUCAGCCCAACACACAUAUCUCUACUAUUUUCAACUAGUGUUUGAUUUCUCAAACCUUUGUCUCUUCCUCUCCUAACUUCUGGGGACUAUAAUUUCUAGCCUCUUGGUUCAGUUUUGAGCACAAAGCUCUUCAAUUUCAGAGAGCCAUUGACAUUCUGUAGAAUUGGGGGAGUGAUGGCUAUGCAUGUUAGCAGUGCAGGGUUUUCUAUUUUUAGUCACAGGAGAGUUAAUAGAGUAAGAGCUGUUGCUUCUGAAAAUGUGAGCAUAGAGGAACAGAAGGUGCAAUUGGGGGCUUCUGAGUUGAAGGUGACAAAGCUUGGGAUUGGAGCUUGGUCUUGGGGUGACACCAGUUAUUGGAACAACUUCGAUUGGGAUGGUGAGUUUGCUCAAUUUUCAAUUAUGUAAGAUUCACAAGAUUGAAACUUUGAGAAUUAUUUGAAGGGUAAGUUGCUCAAUUAUACAUAGGAAAGACUGAAAAGAUUGAAAUUUGAGAUACCCUUUUGAAAUUGGUGAUUUAUUGUUGUACAAUUGUGGCUAAAGUUAGCUUUCCAGAGUUCAUGUGUUCACUUUUUCCAUUUAAGAGAGUGUUUAUGUUAAUUUAGCUUGACUUUGAGAACCUGUGUUUACAAUGUAAAGCCAAAGUGACUUUAAAUUGAAAAUGAGAAGAAGUAAGCUGUAUUUGAAAUUUGCAGGAAUUCAUAUUUAUGAAAUGGUAAUUGUUGUAGUUGUUUUAUGUGGCCUUAUGUAACUUUCUUGGCCAAUGAAUCUUAAAAUUUAAAUUUCAAACAGUACGAGUUAGAAACAAGUGCCCAUGUAUGUUUGAAGAAUUUCAAGGAUUGUGGAAGCUUUCUAGUUUGGAUUAUCAAGUACUUUAGGUUAAGUUGUUUAAAUUUGAGUGAAGGAAAUGAAAUAUUGUGCUCAUGAUUGCAAUAAUGUUUUGUGAGAAUGGCAGAUAGGAAAAUGAAGGCUGCUAAGAAUGCUUUUGAUGCCAGCAUUGAUGGUGGCAUUACCUUCUUUGAUACUGCUGAAGUUUAUGGCUCCAGGGUGAGAAAAUCGUGUCUUGUAGUUUGUUUGUUGUUUUGUUUCAGUCAAAUAGAUGCCUAGAUUUUCUUCGGAUAAUCCAAUCAAAAUCAUCAUUUUCCACUAUUGCAGGCUUCUUUUGGCGCUAUAAAUUCUGAAACUUUACUAGGAAGGUACAUUCUGGGAUUGUGAUCUUGUCUCAUUCAACUCUCUAGUCAGCAGACAGUGCAACUAAUCAUGGUUGCUUUCUGCUUUUUGAGAAUAUUAGCAUUCAAAUCCAGUGAAUUUCUUACAGAUUUAUCAAGGAAAGGAAAGAAAAGGAUCCAGAAGUGGAGGUUGCUGUUGCAACCAAAUUUGCAGCUUUGCCUUGGAGGCUGGGUCGUCAGAGCGUCCUCUCUGCCCUGAAGGGUUCCCUCAGUCGCCUUGGUCUUUCUUCAGUAGAACUGUAUCAACUCCAUUGGUAGGUCUUUACGAGACUUUCAUAUGCUCUUUCUACAAGCAUAUAUAUUUCUGCUAAUGUAACCACUAACUACAAUAGCUAAUCAAGUUUGUAUCUUGAUUUCAGGCCAGGAGUGUGGGGAAAUGAAGGUGGUUCAUCUGUAACAUCAAUUUUAUAUUUAACAAUUAUUUGUCCAGGUGAUAACUACAUAUGUUAAUCACCUUUGUAUCUGAAGAGGCUUAAUCCUUUGGAAUAAAUCAAUUUUCAGGAUAUCUUGAUGGUCUUGGAGAUGCUGUUGAGCAAGGCCUUGUGAAGGCAGUUGGUGUCUCAAAUUAUAGAGGUAUAAUCACUUUAUUAUUGAUAAAAGUGGGCAGGUCGAACGAUGAUAUACUUUCUCUACAAUAUAAACAUCCUGUCUCUUUCUUCUUUACUUUAGCAAGCAAAGAAGAACUGCAUGCCCCUCUAUAAUUGAUCAGAACAUGAUGCAUAAAGUUCUUCGUUUCAGAAAAGAGAUUGCGUGAUGCCUACGAGAAACUCAAAAAGAGAGGUAUCCCCCUAGCGUCAAACCAGGUGAAUUACAGCCUCAUAUACAGGGCACCAGAGGAGAAUGGAGUUAAGGCUACCUGUGAUGAACUUGGAAUCACUUUGAUUGCCUAUUCACCUAUUGCUCAAGGUGGAGUGUGAAACUUUUGCUGUAUUGCAUUUACUAUUAUCAUUUUCACUCAAUAUGGCAAGAAGUUAUAUUCUUCUCAGUUCACAGCAUUCAAGACCCUCUCUGCAUAAGCUUUUAAAAAUUGACACUGGUUUAGUUAUUUAUAUCAACUUAGUAAAGGUAUAAACUCAGGAGAAAAAGAAUAAAAAAAUAAUUGAGGUUAGAAAAACAGGCUUGCUCACCUUUUGCUAUCAGCGGCUUGAUUUUAUGACAUUUAAGUAGUUAUCUUAACUGCAGCACUAUGAUCUUAUUACUUUUCUGGUUCUACCGUGAGAACUUUAUUCAGGCACUUAAAACUUCACCAUCCUACCAUCCUAUCUCUCUUCUGUAUUCCAAUGCCUUUUCUUAUCGGUUUGGUUAUGGUUGAAUUCAACUACUGAUGGAUAAGUGGUAAUGUUGCAUGGUAAAUCUCUUACGUGAGUCAUCUGAGCAAUAUAUAUGAAUUCAUCUAUUUGAUGUUCCACUUGUAUUGAAUUCAACUACUGGUGAAUAAGUGGUUAUUACUUUACUAGUUUUACAAAACAAGUCAAACGUCCGCCUUUCCCCCCCUAACUGGACAGUUUUACAGCUGUUCGGAGGCAAAAGGAUGUGAAUACUUGAUUACUUUAGUCUGUAUAGCUUAAUCUAGCACUGCCCUGGGUAUGAUGAUUAUAGAUUUAGUCUUUGGGUAUUAGGAACUCCUUUUUGACAUGGUGUGAGAGAUAUGAGAAGAUUGACAUUUCAACUAUUGUACGUAUGCAGGUGUUCUUACAGGAAAGUAUACACCUGAAAACAUUCCAACUGGCCCUCGAGGCCAAAUUUACACUCGUGACUUUCUUACAAAGGUAAACCAUAUUUACUUAUUCAUCAUUUUGAAUGUCGAUUACACAGUGCUGUUUUACAGCUAAAAUAUCAUGGUGAUAUGCAGCUUCAACCACUGCUGAACAGAAUCAAGGAAAUAGGAGAAAAGUACAGUAAAACACCUACACAGGUUUGUGCAUGUUUUUAACUACUCUAUACAAGCCUGAAUUUUGUUGAUGCUGUGGAAACCUGACUAAACAAUUAACUCAAGGUACCUGAAUGUCCUUACAUGAGCAAUUUGACACACAGACGCCAAUGUCAAAUACUGAAAUACAUAAGCACUAAGUGACAAGCUUUUAAUAAAUGUAGACCAACUUUCAGUAGCUUGAUGUAGUUAUUCACACAUCAAUAUUUAAACAAAUCAUUUUGAAGACGCAGAAGUAGGCCCUGAGAUUUUAUAUUCUAGUCUUCUAGACAUGAUUUGUCAUCUUUCAUAAGUUUGAUAGAAACCGGGUUCCUCUUGACAGGUAGCCUUAAACUGGCUAAUAGCCCAGGACAAUGUUGUGCCAAUUCCAGGAGCCAAAAAUGCAGAACAGGCUAUGGAAUUUGCAGGUGCACUCGGAUGGAAGCUCAACGAUGAUGAAGUAACUGAGUUGCGCUCCUUGGCUUCCGAGAUUAGACCUGUAACUGGUUUCCCUGUUGAAAACUUGUAAAAGAUAUACACUAGCAUCUGACAUCUAAGUUGUAAGCUCCUAUAUACAUACAACUACAAGAAUGUAGAAAUACACUUCGGUACAAUAAAAGUACAAAAUUCACAUACUUCCAUCAAAAUGAUUGAUUGUAGGUUGACCAUUCAAUGCCUAUUCACACUUAAGGCAAACUGAAAAUAGUAAUCUCGCCUCAGUCCUUCAUUGUGAAGUCCAAGAUUCCAAAGAUAUGACCUGCAGUGUGAAAUAAUAAAAGCAUUUUGGUCCUCCACCUAUAACUAUAAGCAAACUUAUGGACUCAAUUUGAUAUUAGAACAGCAUUUAAAGGUAGGCCUCCUGGCUGCAACUGUACUGAAAUUGACAAUAGCUCACACCCAAUUUAUAGCCAAGUUCAUAGCAAUCCUAUCAUGUGCUAAGCUAGGAGGCUCUAGUCUCUGCAGAACAAAAUUGGCAAGACUUUAAAGUUCAUGAACACAACCCAUCUCAAAACAAAGAAAAAAAACACACUAUUUAUGAAGACUUUCCUCAUGAGCUGGUACUUGUAGAUCCUCAUGGUUCCAUAGUUGGAAGCAUUGCACUGGUACAUGCACUAGAUUCUAUAGCCCCUCUAAGCAAAUAACUACUAGCUCUCCAAAUUAAUGCUAACAUAAUUCGUACAUGUUGGGAGUGGUACUAUUUUCAAGGACCUUCUAGCGAACUUAAAGGCAUAAGUCCUACAUGGUUGGGCUAAUUCUUCAAGAUUUAGGGAGUGCACUCAUCUGAUUCUUUGCUUGUUUGGUAUUUAAUUUGUAAAGCAAUUCAACAAGAAUCUACCUGCUUCAUCCUUAAGUGAAAUAAUUACUUUCCUACUAAAACUAUUGUUACAGUGAUCAAAUUUGUCUGCUGAAUUUUGUCUUUUUAUAUCUAUUUCUUACUUUCAUAGAGAUAAGAUAAGUGCAAUUUGCAAUUGGCAUCAUCCAGAAUCUAGCCAACAUGUAAUCCCAAAGAAGCUUUGCCUUACUUGGGCCAAUCUCUAAAGUGAGCUGUCUAUAACUUUUGAUGAUACAAUCUUGUUCCUCAUCAUUGUCCAAUAAAAUAUAGUCUGCAAUUGCAGUCGUGGCAUCACCCUCACUCAUUUUCAGAUCACAAUUUGAUUGUCCUCCAAGUUGUAGAUUUGGUUUGCCUCAAAUUAAACCAAUCCCAUUCACCCAAUUCCAACCCUUAUUUACAUUCUACAACAUCCACAACAUAGCACAAUAUACCAAGUGCCACAUGGCAUGCUAGCAAUGCUGCUGUAGAAUUCUCAAGCUCUCUAUGUUACCACCCAAUCUCUGCUCUCUGACCUCUGUGCUAACGUCCCUGUCCUUCCAAACUGGUCUUUAAGGCUCUUUGGUCCUUUCCAAGUUUCUGGUUGCUCUACCAUAACUCUCUCUCUCUCUCUCUCUCUCUCUCUCUCUCUCUNNNNNNNNNNNNNNNNNNNNGCUGGAUUAUUUUAUUCUGGGUUCCAUGGUCUUUUUCUUUCCUAAUUUGGGGUUCUCAAUAUUUUAAUCUAUAGAUUAAUGUGCUGUUGUAAGCAAUUAUAGUAGUUGCAAUAUAAAAGGGAAGGCUUUGCUUUACUGAUGAAACUUGUGUAGUGAUAUUUGGGCUUCAUUCCAUUGGUUCCUCCUAUUCCAUUUCUUAGGAUAGUUCCAAAUUUGGGUAUGCAUCAUUUUUUAUUGGUUUGUGUUUGAUUAAUAAAUUAGUUAGUCAGUUGACUAGUUAAUCAAUUAGUUUCUUUAGUAGUUUUCUUCUAGUUAAGAUAUCUAAUGUCUUCUCUCUUGUUUUACAGGAAAUUCUGUCUGUUCAGACAUGAAUUCUUGCAUUCCUAAUUGGAACUUUGAGGGUGAUCUCCCUUCAACCAACCAAAAGAAACCCUCGGGGUCUGUACUUUCUCUCUUUCUAUAUCUAUCUGUAUAGUAGAGGAAGAUAGUAAACAAAAAUAAUUAAUCUUUAUACUUGUUGAAUUAUCUUGAUUUGGGUGGCAUAUUUUACAGGCCAGAUCAUGAACUAGUAGAGCUGUUAUGGAGAAAUGGGCAGGUAGUUUUGCACAGCCAAACAAAUCGAAAACCAGGUCUUAAUCCUAAUGAGUCAAGGCAAGUUCAGAAACAUGAUCAAAUGAGGGUUGGUGGGUUCUAUGGGAACUCAGGUAAUUUGAUUCAUGAUGAGGAAGCAGUCUCCAUGAUCCAAUACCCUCUAGAAGAUUCCUUUGAUAAAGAUUUCUGUUCCCAUUUCUUUUCUGAACUGCCUUCCUGUGAUCCACUUGAGAUUGAGAAGCCAAUCAAACAAUUUGGAGAAGAGAAGUUUGUUAAGUUUGAUGCUUCUAAUGCCACCCAUCUUGUUUCGUCUUCACCACAAACUAAUGUCAAGUCCUCUACUGGUGUGGCAUAUCCUGAAAAUCCAAUGCCUCCUCCAAGAUUUCAGAUCAGUAAUCCAACUGAGAAAAACCAAAAUCUUGGAGGCUUGGGGAAAGUAGUCAAUUUUUCUCAAUUUUCAGCACUGGGAAGGGGUGAUAUAGGAUCUUCCAGAAAACAAAUAAGAGGGACAGAGCCUGGUAAGUUGAAUCAAGCAGAGGUUAGAGAGUGUUCUAUGAUGACUGUUGGAUCCAGUUACUCAGGUAGCAACCAAGUUCCUAAUGACUUUGAUGUGAGUCGGGCUUCGAGCAAUGGUGAUGGGACUACUGUGUUUUCUACUGGAACCUUGUACAACAAUGUUCAAAAGAUGAUGCCUCUGAGUGAGGGAGGGAUGACAGAAACCCUUGAUCCAACUCUUACUUCAUCUUCCGGCGGUUCUGGCAGUAGUUUUGGCAGAGGGAAGCAGUCUAAUGUUGUCAAUAGCAACAAAAGAAAGGGUAGAGAUGCCGAGGACUCAGAGUGCCAAAGUAAGGUAAAAACAUUCUCUCCAAGACUUGACUACUUGUAACAUCACUUAUUUGUUUCCUGAGAAAUGAUAGCCUGUAUAUAUUUAGGCUGCUGAAAUUGAAUCGGCUGCGGGAAACAAGCCAGCACCACGAUCAGGAUCAUCAAGGAGGACACGUGCUGCUGAAGUCCACAAUCUCUCAGAAAGGGUAGGCUUUCAGGUUGCAUAGCAUUUCGAGGUUUUGAAAUUUGUGAUUGUUUGCUCUAAGUUAUUUAUUUGGUACAGAGACGAAGAGAUCGGAUCAAUGAGAAGAUGAGGGCAUUGCAAGAGCUCAUACCUCAUUCUAACAAGGUCUACUUUCUUACAAGCCAUUUAAUUCUUGGUCUUUUUACCUUCCCCUAAUUUUAAAUUUCUGUGACUGAUAUGUCCUGAUUUUGCAGACGGACAAAGCGUCAAUGUUAGAUGAGGCAAUUGAAUACUUGAAGUCUCUUCAGCUGCAACUUCAGGUAUAAUGGAUACUCACCAAACUGAUACCACUCCUAUUGUUUGUGUUACAAGCAACUUAAAAACGUUUCUUGGUGAUUUAGGUAAUGUGGAUGGGAGGUGGGAUGACACCGAUGAUGUUUCCAGGAGUACAGCACUAUAUGUCCAGAAUGGGAAUGGGAAUGGGACCGCCUGCCAUGCCUUCUAUGCACAAUCCAAUUCAUUUACCUCGGGUUCCUAUAGUUGAUCAGUGCAUGACUGUGGCUCCACCAACAAACCCGGCCGUAAUGUGCCAAACACCGGUUCUGAAUCCUGUUGAUUACCGUAACCAGAUGCAAAAUCCCUCUUUUCAGGAACAAUAUGCACGUCUCAUGGGAUUCCAUCAUAUGCAGACCAUGUCUCAGGUAUGUGGUGUUUUCUGGAAUAAAAUGUUUAGUCACACGAUGGUUAGGUUUAUUAGCUGAAACAAGUUUCAUUUUGAUUGUAUCCACUAUGUCUUGUAGCCUAUGAAUAUGUUCAGAUUCGGCUCUCAGCCUCUUCCACAAAGUCAGAUGAUGGCACCAACUGUCAUGAACACUGGACCUUUAAGUGGUGGAGCUGCAACUAAUGAGGGUUUAAGUGGCAAAAUGAGUAAGUCAUUUCAACCGCUUUUGGGUAAAGUUUAUAUUGUUUAUUGCUCUCUAUAACUCAAGUAGCAAAUAAGAUACCAUGCUUAUGUUGAAUUAAAUUGAACUAGUGAGUUAUGGCUGUCAAAAUGAUUGGCUAUAUGGUGGAUUUGGAUUGCAUUAGUGAAUUCAUUACCUUCCUUAUCUUCAAUGCCAUGUCCACUGGAAGUGAAUGGUCACAAGUUUUUCCCAACUAUAAAGGGUUGGCUACAUCUAUUCCUUUUGUGCAUUGCUCUCAUGUUAUCUGUAGAUAUAGGCCAUUAUGUCAUCUUUUCAUAGAUUACACUUGAUUUUUCUCUGCCCUGAUUCUGAUGCUCUUCGUAUGAUCGUUUUCGUUUUGCUAUAUACAAACAGUAGUGUUCUGUUGAAUCUUUGAUGCCAUUACUGUCCCUAUCAGAUUAAUUUUAAUGGAAGCACCACCUUUUCUGAUGUCAACAGGUUAAUAAACUACGAUGCAUGCUUAUCUCUAUGGACUAUGGUCCCCUAACUUAUAUAACAAGAUUACUUCUUUGUGGAAAAUGCGGGUUCUGAACUCUUCUUGAUCACACGGUUUAAAGGCUCCCCAAUCCACCGUAUAUAUUUCCUAUAGGUGAUCGAAAAGUCACUUUUCAUAUAUGCCAAUGAACCACUAUUGCAAGUGUUCAGACAUCUUAAUCGCGCAUUGAACUUGCUCCGAAACCCUACAAACAGAGACAAGAGUAGUUAUGUAUCUUUCUGGUUUGAGUUUUUUGACUCUGCAAGAGAAGGAAGUUUGUAUUCCAUGCCCCAUAACUUGUAUAAAAUACAGGCAUAUUGCUCAUUCAUGUUUGCUUAAAAAUAUGCCUACAUUUUUUAUAUGGAUACUGAUGCCUGUUACUUUCUUCAGUACCUUUAUGCUCAUGCUGUAUGCUCACACACUUCCUUAACACUAUCUUAUCUACAAUUCUCUAGUCACCAAUAGAUACUCUUGAAACCUUUGAUCUAGAAAGCUUGUUAAAGUAAAGAUUGCAGUUGAACAUGUUCUAACACAUUGGUCUAUUUGCUACCCUAUUAUUUUCAAAAGUUGAGCAUCAAACUGAAUGCAUUGUACCCACUCUUUUUUCUCCUCAAUCUUUAUCUUGUAGUUUUGGUCAAGCUCCAAUGAAUUCAAAGGUAGUGAGGGGUAUUGGAAUCAAAAUAAAGGCAAUGCCAACUACCCUCCUGAUAUUGGGAUGCCCUUUAUCUCUAAGUCCAUGUUACCUAGUCUUGAGACCUCAGCAUUAAACACAUUGCUUAUUACUAUUGUUAAGGAAUAUAAACAUUGGAACUCUUCAAAAUCUGAUUAAAAAAAUUGGGGCUCUGUUCUUUUCCUGGAGGCAAGUUUGGUUUCAACUUGUUGGUCUGCAUCUCUAGAAUAUCUGAUUCUUCAGGUCAACAAAAACUGCUACUAGCGCCCUUUCUUCAAUCUUACCUAGCCAAAAGGUAAAACCAUUAUAGCUUAAUGAAGAAGAGCAGUUGUUAACUUGGGAAUACACAACUGAAUUGGAAAUAGGUACCUAAGCUACCAAGUCUUGCAAGGUUGGGGUUCAUUUGGUUCUUGCCUGUGCUGCAAGUCUAUUUUGUAUGUUCAUUCCAGAAAGAUAUGAACAAACUCUAUGGAGGGUAGUGAGUAACUGAGUGCUGAUAAUGACACUUCAAUUUUUGUUUUCGACACCGACAUAAAUAUUAUCAUAGCAGAAAAUACUCUCAUAAAAACAGCAAGCACCUUAGGCUAAUUGCCAUUAGUUUUCAAAUAAAUGACAUCCACACUUCUUCCCUUCAAAUCUACUCGUAUUUUCCUUCAAAAAUAUAGCAGUAUGAUUCUACCGAUUAAUACGAUAGGAGGGAACAACUGAAUGCCUAAUCAUUUGUAUGUGCAAGCCCAGGUUCUCACAGUGCACGUGCAUGACUCACUUAUGUCUCCCUAUCGCUACUGUAAAAUGCCAUCUCAUUAUCAAAGCUUCAUUCUUCUUUCCAGCAAGAAGGAUUUCUCAUGUCUCCAACAUGCAUGAACAAUCUUAUAUUCUAUCAUGCUGGUGGGGUUCAAUUACUCAUUGUCAUCCAUUCUCUCUCUCCAAUUAUUAUUUGGAAAAUUAAUAAAAUAAAUAAUAAAUCGUAAAAUAAAACUAUUUGUACCACAUUAACAACUCACAUGUCGUUACAUACUUAAAAUCUUUACAAAAGUCGCUCAAAUAAGUCAAGUCCAUCUUAGGUCGGCUAUAAGAGUCAUGAUCAGCAAUGCAGGUCUAGAAUGUAAGUAUUUUCUUCAGCCAUGUUGUGACCUUCCCCCUAUUUUCCUUUGCUUUUCUGGGUGGAGGAGGGGUCCUGGGUCAGAUUCCCCUUCUUGUACUUCAACUGCAAAUGGCUAGGCUAAGACAUCAUCAUCAACAUCAUCAUGAAUUCUAAUGACUAUUGCCUCCCAGUUGUUUCAUAUAUAUUUAUUUCCUAUUUCCAUUAGCUUAUCUGACCCACAAGAACAUACAGAUAAACAGAUUACAGAGGAGCCAUACAAAGCUAGUGGCCUGGAAUGCUCUUGCUUUCAACAUUUUACUAAUAUCUCCUCCCCUCAGCCCCCACUGUCAUCUUUUUCUUGAUUGGAAGCUUGAAAAAGAUUGAUGUCUCCCAAAGGGUUUUGGUCCCAUUCUUGCAUACUUGCCUCUGCCUAAUCUUUUCAUUGAAUUGCUUUGUUCAUUUGCACAAGUUGGUACUUUAAAACCCCAAAUAUCAGCAUUAAGCAACAAUAUUGUUCUACCCCACUUCAAAGAUUUCAUGCAUCCAGCUUUAGUUGAUUUUGGAUAGAUCUAUAAUUGUUUAUUGAUCCUCUCAAUGGCUCAAUUAUUGGAUUGAUUGCUAAAUCAGUUUGAGCAAAUCUAAUAUGAUUAUGUCCCUAAGAUCUGUUACAUUAGAUUAAAAUAACAUAUUUUGAUUAAAAUCUCCUGAAACAAAUAGAAAAGUAUAGCAGAGGUCUUACUUUUUAAAGACAUUUCUUUUGGGUAAAUAAAGUUCUAUGCAAGUCAAAAGCCAGAUAGGCAUGGUUUCUUAUCCAGACGUUACUGUGGUUAAAGUGAAUGUUGGUCCAAAAGUAAUUCUCAUUCCAACGAUGUUUACAAUGGUUAACGAUGUGUUUUUUCAUCAUGUAUAUUUUAUAUAUAGCCGAAAUCAAAAUAUAUGCCGAAACUUAUGUUUUUCAUCUAUUUUUAGGUGAAAAUGAACGAGGAGAACCGAGAAACGAACGUGAUCAAGAAUGGUGAAGCAAGAUCUCCACAACUUAGUAAAGUGCUAGCACCCAUCUUAUCAACUAUGAAGAACACACAAAGAUGGGCUUCUAAAUCCCAUGAGUCAAAUGACACCAUUUUAUGGGUUGGCGCUUGCAAAUUGGGCUUCAUAAUAGAAGCAGGCUGCUAUAAGUAGGCUCAAUCUCAAUCCACACAUGGCCUGCAGCAUGUUAUCAACUCGUGCAAACUUGAAAUAUACAAAACGAAGUGAAGUAGUGAACUCAAUAAUUGUCCAUAUAAUACAUCAACAGAAAACAAAAAAUCUAACAAAACCAAGGUCCAUCACAUACUAAGAUUUUUUUGUUCAUCCAAAUUAACUUGCAUGCCAAGUAAUACUCGUCGAGACAAAUUUUUAUUUUUUUAUCAAACAAAUCACAAGAGUAGAUCCCCUCGAAAUAAUGAGAUCAUUAUACCAAAAAUACAUCGCAAUGUCAAUGUGAUUCAUUAUACCAAGUACUAUUUUGAGAAGAUUUCUGAUCCAGAUGGAGUAUUCCUUGUAUCAAAGUGGCAAAAUUAUCUGAUUCUGGGCCAGCACGAGUGGUACUGUAGCAGCCCAUUAAUAAUAAAACAACAACAGCCCAUUCAUGUUCCUUUCUCCAUUUGGUCGAUCGAAACAGAAUUAUCAACUCUAUACUAUAGUACUCCAAAAUGAUUGGUGCAGGUCUGGAAGCUUCUCUGUAAAGUAGAAAAAACAAAGAGUACAGUAGACAAGGUUCAGAGCCAAAAGCCUGUGUUAGCUUCUGACACCCUCAAUUAUUGGAGGAGCACCAGAAGUGGAUAUUUGUUGCGUGCACUUGGAACACGUGGGUGGGAAACCUGAGCCAUCAAUUCCAAUUAAACGCACGUCGUUUUCGACUGCAUGUGAGUUUCCGCACGGAAAAGGCGUUAGGGUUUAAAUCAGAGGUCCACGUACAAAAGCGUGGUCGGCGGUGAGCGUCUGAUCGGGGGAGUCUUCUGGUGAGCAGUCACCGACGAUGUUCGUUAAUCUUUUUAGCUUAGGGAGAAGAUAAGGAGAUUAAGCUAACAUAAAUGACUACACUGAUGUUUACCAACUUGUGGGUUCAUUGUUAUUUGAUGAUAUAUAUUACUUACAAUUGUAUCAUUAUCUCAUGGAUUUGGGUGGUCUAGGGUUGAAGAUGGUGAUUGGUCUAUGAUGGGUGGGAUAUUGCAGAUCCAGAUUGUACGUAUAAAACUAUAUGUGGGAUAUUGCAGAUCCAGAUCAAUGUAUGUAUAAACUGUGUUUGGUGUGGUGGUGCUGGUAGACGUAGUCCUUUUUUCUUUUCUUUUUUGAAAGGCCGUAGUCCUUUUUUAAAAAGAUAAAUAAAUUACAUUAAGAAACUUUUAGGGUAACCAAUUAAUGUUUACAAUGUCAAAUAGUAAGAGCAAGACUCUAAAAGUCUCAUGAGAAACUCUAUCAUUCUAAUACGGUGAAUUACAAGAAUGCACAAGAUUAAAUAUAACAUUGACAACAAACUUAGCUUUCCUGAAAAUAUACCUAAAAAAAACAAUAGAGUAGCUAAUGUUCUGAUGUCUUGCAUUAGUUUAAUCAACCUCCAAGGCGGCUCAAAGCGGCCACGCACGUACUGCGUGUAUCACCAGCUUGGAAUCUCCAACUUCAACAUUAGUGAAGCCCUUCUUCUUUUUUUGAUCAAGUUGUCCAUUAACGCCACAGCUUCAGUGUUGGAAAAAAUAAUAUAAUGGAAGUAACUUAAACCAUAUAAAGGAUAAAAGUGCAAAUAAGUAAAAGAUAGAAGAAAUGGAACACCAGAUAUAACGUGGUUCUGCGAUGUGCCUACAUCCACGGGGAGCAACAACAAGAACUUCCACUAUGAGAAUGAUGGGUACAAGAGAUACACAACUUCAAGAACACUACUUGAAGGAAAACUCUCUCUCUCUCUCNNNNNNNNNNNNNNNNNNNNNNNNNNNNNNNNNNNNNNNNNNNNNNNNNNNNNNNNNNNNNNNNNNNNNNNNNNNNNNNNNNNNNNNNNNNNNNNNNNNNNNNNNNNNNNNNNNNNNNNNNNNNNNNNNNNNNNNNNNNNNNNNNNNNNNNNNNNNNNNNNNNNNNNNNNNNNNNNNNNNNNNNNNNNNNNNNNNNNNNNNNNNNNNNNNNNNNNNNNNNNNNNNNNNNNNNNNNNNNNNNNNNNNNNNNNNNNNNNNAUUUUUUUUUAUAUAAUUUACUGACAAAGAUUAGGUGAUAUCAGCUUCUUUGUAACAGUUUGCUGGGUAACAGAGCACCCACUCUACCCAAAAGGGGACCACUACAACCACAAACCCACCGCCGCGCCUGUCCCUUACCAACUACACUACAUUCUCAUCUUGGAGUGGACACUUUUCACUCUCUACUUGGAUGAAGAUGUUUCUCUUGGAUGAGAUAAUGGGAAUGAGCAAAUGAUCGACCUCUCUUUAUAUAGGUUAAGGAGGAACCAUCUAGAUCACUCAUUAGUGUUAUCCCAAUCAAUGGUGCUUCAUGAAUAUUUUAUAACUCAUGAUUCUUCAUAUGCAUUCCAAAACUAUCCAUAUACCUUGUGUAACUCAAGAGUCACUAACUCUUUGACCUUUCACAUUACCAACUCAUGAAACCUUUUACAUUUCUUGUCAUAAGUUACUGUGAGUUAUUGGUCUGGAUAUUUCAACAUUUAGUAAUUGGGACUGAAGCACUUCCGAUGCGAUAAGAGGCUGCAGAGUUUGGUCUUCCAUUUGCGCCUCUAAUUAUAAAUUAAGCCAUAAGCAGCUGAGUUACUUGUGACUGAUGUGACUAAUCCAUCAAAGUUAAUUCUGAAAAAACAGUUAGGAGAUGUUUGUCACUUGAUACUUGAUAGUGAUACAAUGGUUUUGAAAAUGCACCCCAGUAACUCUUUCUCUAAAAUUAUUUUGACCUGAAAUCAUGGAAGCUACUGCUAAGGUAGUUGAUCGAGGAUUAGGAACAAUUCCUCUAAAAACCGUGUCAUUUCUAACUUUUUAGACUUGUCGGCAAGUGGUAAAGUGGUAAUCACUUUUGCAAACAAAUCAACAUCAUAUGGCUGUGAAAUAGAGAGUUCCUUGUUGUGGUUCGUAUGUCUUCGUUUAAUGUCCUACUAUAUAGGAAAUAUAUCAGUCUACGAACUUGUGUUGUUAACAAGCCUAACCAAAUCUGAACCCAGUUACCGAUAAGCAUAUAUAUAUAUAUGUUAACAUUGUUGCACUAUUAAGAAUGUGGUGAGACUUGGGUGCUACUUCAGUCAGUUUUGGUCGUAAGAAAUUGUUACAUAUCAUUAAGGCUACUUCUAUUUGAUUAACUUCAUUUACAUUUGUAAGAGCUUAAUUGCUUUUAGUUCGUCUUUAUCAUACUGCUCCAAUCUCUUAUUCAAAACCGAUCGAUGCGUCAUUUCACCGGUUGUUGCCCCUCCCCCUUCCUCUGUCUUAGUCAAAACCGGAUUUUGCAUCCUCUUUUUAACUCCUUAUCUUUCAGUAACUCUGUAAUCUCUUCUUAAUGGAGAAUCAUGUCGGGUGAAAAUAAUAUAUAGCAAUGGAAGUCAUGUAUGCAAACACUACGGUGUUAUAAAUAAAUAGCUACGUUAUCUUAGUAAUUAUAAAAUGAAUAGCAUAAUACGUCCUUAUCAAGAGAUCUAAAGGUCCACUUUAUACCACUAUUUUAUGUAUAAUUUCAUAUAUUAGUGCCACGCUUGAAACAUAGUUUUCACAAGCAAUGUUUGACGCAUUACACAACGUGUGAUAGGGAUUUAUAAAAAUAAAUAAAUAAAAUAGAAAAGGAUGGAUCGAAAAUGCAAACUUAGAAAAUGAAUUAUGUAAUGCUUACAUCAGAAAAUGCAUGUACAUGUAGGGGGAUUUGUAUAACCUAAGCAAGACACACACAAAGGAGAAGAUCGAGAUCCAUACCAUGAGGAAUAACAAACACAACUAACGUACGUUUGUGCUUAGUAAAACAAAACCUUAAUGAAAUUCGCUUUUGCUUCUACUGUCUAGCAUCUAUGGUACGUAUUUGUGUAGUUCGAUCGUUUAGAUAUUCAAUGGUUCACAUAUAAAUUAUAUAGAGAUGCACAAAAGAUACAAAUAAAGAAUCGAUUCCUUUCUUUUGUGACAAAAUUAACUUCCGUAUGGUAGUCAUGACAUUUUGUUGAUAAAAAUGAACCAUUAGACCCACGUAUUAAAACGUUGAUAAUGACUUAAAGUGCUUAACACUAUUGCUGACUGCUGUUAUCAAUCAAGGAUCAAACAUCUGAAUCCUGUAAAACGUUCACCCUUAUUUGAUUCAUAGGUACGUGUUUGUAAAACCAGACGAGUAGUCCAAAAAUAAAAUUUAAAAUAUGUCUUAUUGCAUGUUUGUGGUUAUGGGUUUUGAAAUGUGUGCUUCAUAUUGGAUGUGGUAUAUGUGUUUAGAAGGGUGCUCAAAUGACCCUACUCGCAUAAUUAACCAACUAGCAGAACAUGUCGAAUUUGCAACAAGCAUGAUUGUGAUUCGAGUUGUAAAAUCUUUCUUUUAUCCUUUUACAUCUCCAGGCUUUUGGAAACUGAUCGAACAAGCAGCACAAAUGGAAGACAUCAGCAUCGAUCUAGGCAUCUAGCACUCCCAAAGAGAAAACGUCAAAGAAAAUUAUGAAAUAUCAUCUUCACGUUCGUGUUUGGCAUACUGCAUUAGUUUAUCUAUUUACUUUAUUUCCAACGACUUAGACAUUAACAUUUUCACGUCAAUCCAAAUCAAAGAAGAAGAAGAAGAAGAGAGCUGCGUGAUACAACAUUACAAAAUUCCACAGUUAGAUUUCAGCCUAUGUGAGUAUGUGACGCUUGUGUUGCGUCUUGGUGAUCAGUAUUAAUACGUACUGUUUGAGCUCAACCGUAGUAUGGUUGGCCAUUUCUUGACACAUAUAUGCAAGUGUAUAAUAAAAGAUAUUUGUUUUAUGGAAAAUUAUGAUUACGUAAUCUCUUGAUUUUUUUUUAUAAUAAAUAACUUUAUUGAUAAAUAGAAAGAAAUUACUGUAUAAUAGAAUUACCAGUUAUGGUAGCUACACCACGAGACACAUUCCCAUAAAGAUCCGUAGUUACGGGCCUGCCGCCAACAACAACAUCCAUGAGCCAAAAGGGCUCAACCCUUAACCCAAUUUCACGUUAAAAAAGAGCUACAAAGUCUUGAAAGUAACGAUACAACCUCGCUACCAACACUAUAACAAGCCAAUUCCCCUUCUUCGACACCGUGUCCAAAUACCACCAGACCACGUGCAAAGACAAUCCACUCUCAUGUUGACAACCAGACAACACCAAUAAUCCCCAGCGGCGAAAGGAUUCCUACUGCUGUUGGGAGUACUCUAAGAGAACAUAGAGAUGAGAUUAGUGUUAGAGUUUGCACAUGAACUACCAUCACCAAAAUUACCGCAACAUACAUAUACGGCGGUGCCUGAUAGCCUUCGGUUUUGUGCUCUAGCAUACCACAGGUGUUGCAAAAGCCACACACACCUUCACAAACUUGAAAGUAAUCAUCAUAGAAGUCAGAUCCAUACCUUCCCUAAAGUCGAAACGCAUCGGUGGGUAUGCAUGUUUCACCGGGGAAUCAAGGUUGUGCUCCAAUCAAACCCUAGCUCACGCACCCUAUAGAAGGUUCGAGUUGUCAUGCGGCCAAGGGUUGCCCCCACCAUAUACAGAGCCUUUUUCGUCAUGAGAUCCGGUGGAAGACCAAAAACCUUGACCCAAACUAGGAUAAAUCUAAUCGAAACCAGCGCUGCAUCCAUUCUACCAUCGUAUAGAGCUAGGGCAAACAUUUUUUUUCCGUAGAAAUACGGCCCUCCUUCCACAAUAUACUUUCGAUUUUCUGCAUUAUUGAACCUCAAUAUAUAGCGUUCACCUUGAGCCCUUAUGUGCAGCUUCCCCUUUAGAUCCCAUAGCGUAGCCAAUGUUGUUGUGAAAGCUUUGGGAACAACCUUCUUUUUGGAAGACAGAAGCCCGUCUACUGCGUAUUGGUUCGAUAUAAAGUACAACCGACCAUUCUCCGAAAUAGCGAGCGCCGCCGCUAGACUGGAAACCUCGUUUACCAUGAUUGUCUGUCGGAAAAGAGAAUUGUCAAAAAACUUCGAAAUACAAAGAGAAACCCUAAGGAGAGAGCUUUUCUUCGCGAUACAACUAUCUUUUGAUUAUGUAUAAUAACAAUAAUAAAAACGGGCGUGUGUUCCUCCCGUUAGACUUGGUUCCAAAUCUAAUUUAACAAAUAAUAAAAUCGAUGUGAGAACUUUCAUAUAUUUCUUUUCAUUAUACCACAAAUGCAUCGCACAGAUAUAAUACUAGAUAAUCGAAUUGACCGUGUUUGUGAUAAAAUGGAUAAAAAACCAUUAGAUGGAAAAAAAUGCAUAGGAGUACGAUGUAUGACAUUUGCUAUCUACAUCACUAUACCAAAUCGGUUAGAUAAAAAGAGAGAAAAAUUCAAAAAAAACGCCCCAAAAUAAAACACCGACGAUCCAACACGUUGUCACACACCCCACUUUGACAUUCAUCACCAACAAUACCCUUACCACUCACCACGCCCUUUGCGUGCAAUUUCGGGAUUUCCGCCUUCCUAACUUUACACGUGGCAAAUAACUCCCGCGAGUGCUGAAUCUCCGCCACUCUCGCGCGUAAUCCCUCCCCUUCCCAACUAUGUGGCUGGCAUACCUCUAUAUAAACCCAGCCAAACUGGGACGGUGGGAAUCAAAAUCCUCUCUCAAAUUCCGUUUUCCGUUUCCGCAUCAAAUCUUCGCUCCCCUAAAUCCCCGAACUUUUUCGGUUUCUGAUUCCCCAGAUUUCCGAUUCCCGAUUCCCGAUCUUCGAAUCCAGUGGGGGUGUUUGAGAGUCGGAUUUGUUUGAAAUCGUGGAAUUUAGAAACCGUGGAUUGAAAAGAAAGUCGCAUGAGCUGGUUGGGGAAGCUGGGUUUCAUAAAGAGAAUAUCGAAUUCCAAUUCCAAUCACUUCAUCACGUGUCUCUUGAUUUUCACCCUCCAUUAUUCCCCUCAAUUGCCCCUUUCCUUGUUGGAAUUCGAGAAGAAAGCCCUCGAUCCCUUAUUAUCAUUGUCUAUACCCCAAUUUAAUUCUAAUUUAAAUCCCAAUUUAGUAAUUUUAAUUUGAAUCACCAUGGCUUCCGGUAAUAGCAACAGUAAUAGUAGUAGUACUACUCCCCAAUUGCGCAGAGGUCCGUUUCGCAUUAAUACGUUUUUGUUUUGUAAGCUAGUUCGAAAUUUUAACCAUGCUAGAUUUUGAUUUUGAUUUUGAUUUUGAUUUUGGAAAAUGCAGCUGCCUGCAAUUCGGAGGUUGAGAGGAGGCCGACCUUGAGCGGAACGACGCCGUCUCCGUCUGUGAUAGUGAUCGGUGGAGGCAUGGCUGGGAUUGCAGCUGCGCGUGCUCUUCACGAUGCUUCAUUUCAGGUAGCUUAUGAUGAAAUUGGUUUAAUGAGGUACAUUGGAGUGUGGAGUUGUGGGUUGUGAAGGUUUGAAUUUUUUGUGUGGUUAGGUUGUGCUGUUGGAGUCUCGGGAUCGACUUGGUGGUCGGGUUCACACUGAUUACUCGUUUGGUUUUCCGAUUGACUUGGGUGCAUCAUGGUAAGCUGAUAUUUGAAUUGUAUUUGGAGUUUUUGGCCCGGAGUCAUGUGGUUAAUUUUGUGUUUUUAUGGAUUAGGUUGCAUGGAGUAUGUAAAGAGAAUCCCUUGGCUCCAUUAAUUGGGAGACUGGGUUUGCCUUUAUAUCGAACCAGUGGUGAUAACUCUGUGUUGUAUGAUCAUGACUUAGAAAGGUACUUAACCUCUUAUAUUAUGUGUUAGUUGAAUAUUCAUCGUCUCUCUUAUUGUAGUCUGUGAUAUAUACAUAAGUUCAGAACUUUAGACUGUUUUCGCUCUUUAAAACUGUUAAGUCGAGACCUUUUCUAGUGUUAGCUGACAUAAAUUAUCUCUGUGUUCUAUUUUGCAGCUAUGCACUCUUUGAUAUGGACGGGAAACAAGUUCCUCAAGAUUUAGUUACGAAAGUUGGUCUAACAUUUGAGGAAAUUUUAAAAGAGGCAAGUCAUUUUAUGUUUGUUAUCCUUCUUUUCGUAGUAUUUUUAGAUUAUAGUUGCCGAGGGUUACUUGGUUUUGCUCCUUUUAAGCCUCAAUUGUGGGUCAUCUUUUGAGACGGCUAUUGUUUCUUAAUUGCAGACAGAUGAGGUAAGAAAGGAAUUCCCAGAAGAUAUGUCCAUCUCCCGUGCUUUUUCAAUUGUUUUUCAAAGGAAACCAGAAUUAAGGUACCAAAUGAGAACCAUAUUUCAUUGAUUUAACUAAUGUUUAACAUUAUGAAAGUCCAGGAGUAACUUAUUCAAAUUGCUUCUGUAUACACUAUAUAGGUUGGAAGGAAUUCCCCAUAAGGUAUUGCAGUGGUAUUUGUGCCGAAUGGAAGGCUGGUUUGCAGCAGAUGCUGAUACAAUUUCUCUUAAAUGCUGGGAUCAGGCAAACUUCUCAUCUAUCCUUUUCUGGGCGAGCAAAAGAUUUCAAACAAUGAUCCUUUUAUUGUUGUUUUUUAUUUACGACUAAAUCAAAUACUUGUCAAUUUAAAUUUAGAUGCGGAGUCUAUCACUCUUAAAUCCGAAAAAAUUAUCAUCAAGUAAAAGAAAUUUUUAAAUAUGCUAUUGUAGAUUUGUAGUGCUGCUCAUUGACUGCAUGCACAUCAGAUGAUUGUGUUAUUCUUUUUGUGAAACACUAGUGAUUAGGAUGAACUUUAUGGUAAUGAGUGAACUAUAAUGAAUGCUAUUUAAUUGUAGCAAUUUUGUUUUUCUGUUGUACAGGAAGAACUGCUUCCUGGUGGUCAUGGUCUUAUGGUCAGGGGAUAUCGCCCUGUUAUAAACACCCUUGCCAAAGGUCUUGACAUUCGCCUAGGCCACAGGUAGGCAUUGAUUUUCAUAAAUAAUUGCCCAAUGUAUAUGUUCUAUCAUCUGCUUGUAGCUUAUUCAACAAUUACAUAUCUUUUGUUGUCAGGGUGACAAAAAUUUUAAGGCGGUAUAAUGGCGUGAUGGUAACAGUAGAAGAUGGGAGAUCAUUUAUUGCAGAUGCUGCUAUUGUUGCUGUUCCCCUCGGUGUGCUCAAGGCAAAUAUCAUCAAGUUUGAGCCAAAGCUACCUGACUGGAAGGAUGCAGCCAUUGCUGAACUUGGAGUGGGAAUUGAGAAUAAGAUAGUGUUGCACUUUGAGAAGGUGUUCUGGCCCAAUGUGGAGUUUUUAGGAGUGGUUGCGGAGACAUCUUACUGUUGCAGCUACUUUCUAAAUCUUCACAAGGCUACUGGUCAUUCUGUGCUUGUUUAUAUGCCUGCAGGGCAGCUGGCCAAAGACAUUGAGAAAAUGUCUGAUGAAAAGGCUGCUGACUUCGCAUAUACGCAACUCAAGAAGAUCCUGCCAGAUGCUUCUGAUCCGGUAAUCCUUGUUUCUCGAUUUCUAACAAAGGCAUCUUGAUUAUUCCAUUCUAUAGUUCAAAACUAACUUGAUCUAUGAUUUUGAACCCUGCAGAUUCAUUUCCUUGUUUCUCGCUGGGGAACAGAUAUUAAUUCACUUGGGUCCUAUAGCUACGAUAUGGUAGGCAAACCCCAUGAUCUGUAUGAGAAGCUAAGGGUCCCAGUAGAUAACCUCUUCUUUGCUGGGGAGGCAACAAGUACGGACUUCCCAGGUUCUGUGCAUGGUGCAUUCGCUACUGGAGUGAUGGCUGCUGAAGAUUGCAGGAUGCGCGUUCUGGAGCGAUAUGGUGAGUUGGAUUUGUUCGAGCCAGUCAUGGGUGAGGAGGCCAUGUCUAUCCCAAUUCAGAUCUCCCGCCUGUAACUUGCUGGUUAUUCUCUCUUAGAGAAGAAUGCAAGUAUUGCAGAUGUAGAUGUCAGAUUUGCUGUACACAGUCCCGAUCUUGACUUGUCUGUGUGGGAGUAUCGAUCUCUACUGUGGAUAAUCAUUAAAUAAAUCUUAAGAAUCUAGUCUGCUAAUAGCUAGUGGAAUGUUGCAAUGGACAUUCCGAUGGACCUUAAAUGACCUCCUUUGUAACGAACUGUGUUAUUACAAGUCAAUCUAUCACGUAUGUCACUACCUUAGUCCUGCUGAUAUUUGUUUACAACGAACUCUGUGAGUUAGACGCUGAUACAUUAUUUUUAAUAUUUGCGUUAGUACUGUGAAACUCAAGUUAAGUUUGCUAAUUUUGUGGACAUUUGGGACAAACAUGUUCAUGUCGAUCGGUCCAGCACGAAUGUGACGAAUCAAAUCAACCAUGAGUUCUGUUCAAUAUAAUCAUGCUUCACCACAAUGUCAAAGAUGAAUAGUCCAGCUGAGUUCAUAUCAAGACAAUGAGGAUGUAAAUGGGUACAAACAACUCAAAGAAAUUGAAUCUGCAAGUUUUCUUUCAAUGUUUCACCUUGAGGUUGCAGUUUCAAAAAAAUCAUAAAAAAUUGCAAUCAGAACAAACAUUUUUCUUUCCUUCUAACCAUGGAUUGAAUUAAAUAACUAUCUAAUACGGUUGCUCAGCUAAAACAUGUACAUUUACACGCUGAGCAAAGUUGACAUUUUAAGCAAAUGCAUUGCCAAAAACCUGCCCAAAAGAAUCUCCAACAUUGUGAUUUCUCUGCAAUCCAUUGAAAAAUUAAAGUGGGCUUCUUUUCCCGUCACUUUCUUGUUUUCCAUAAAAAGCUCAAGUUACAAUCACCCCUUGAAUUGAUUCUUGUGCCUUUUUAUGGUAAAUGAAUGAGAAUAAUAUCCAAAUUCCAAAAUGAGAAGACUCCCAGUUCCCAAGUGGCUCUAGUAAAAGGUUCCUGUAUAUAAAUGAAGCACUAGUCAGAUUUAGCUCUGAAACUUCUUCGGAAACAAACAUUAGCAACUACUAAAACUUAUACCCAUUUAACAGCGUGAUCAUCACAUAAUAGAGCUGAAGCUUUCGAUAGGAUCAGAUUCUUCAAGCAUGGUAGCUGCCUGAAAGCAGUCUGCUGCAUCAGCCAUCCGUCCAUCAUCUCUGUGAAUGAUUCCCAAGUGAUACCAAGCUUUACGAUUGUUAGGGUUGAGCCUGAGUGCAUCUGAGAGUAAACUUCUUGCCACAGGCAAUGCCUUAGGUCCCAUCUUUGACAUAAGCACGGCAACCCCAAUUUUGCCAGGAACAUAAUAGGGUUCUUGCAUAAGAGCAUUAAUAUAAGUGACUAGAGCUUCAUGACUUCUCCCACAUCCUUCCAAGAUAAUGCCUAUUAUAUAUAGAGAGAAAUAAGUUUCAAGUAAACAUGCUAUUUAUAAAAAUAAUGUAACAUUCAUUUACAUGUUAGAUGAGUGAAGUUCUUGCCUUCUGCGUGCAGUGUUUCUGCAGCAAACUGCUUCAACUCUCUGGCUUUACCCAAACAUAUUUCUGCAUCCCUCCAAUAUGAAAGGCUGGCAUAUAAGUUUGACAAACCAUGCCAAACUUCAAGUUCGUUGACUUUAUCAUCCUCGGUCUAGUAACAAACAUCCAAUUAUAAAUUCAAAAGGAAGAACUUGUUAAACAGGAGUUCCUAUUUGUCUCUUCAUGAAAAGUAAUAUUAAAGAGAGAAUAUAUUGCAAAAGUAAAAAGUAUACAAAUGAAAUUGGAAAACUAUGAACAGUUGAUUAAAAGCAACAAUCACUAUUUUACAAUUGCAUUGCUACAUAGAGCAACUCAUGCUUCUUUAAAAGGUCAGAUUAGGCCCUCCAUUAUCAAUCAGAUCCAAUAAUCCCAUAUUACAUUUUGUGCCACUCAAAAGAAAAAACAAAUAAGGUGGUGAAGAAAAAGAGAAAUUUAAUAUAGCAUUUAAUUGCAUCCUGCAAUAUCUGAAACUUAUUUCCACAAACAGUCGGAAACUUGACUUUUAUAAGGAAUGAACUAUCAUUACUUUCAAGAUAGGCCAAACCAGACUAUUGUAGAAUGACCAUAUUUUACUACUUUCCCAUCACUACCAAUAAUGGCGUAUGCAGAAAUUCAAACAGUCUGUAUUUGUAUACGGUAACUGAACAACUAAAUGGUAUUUUGGAAAGAAAGAAGCAGAGGCCAGAUUUACCUGAGAAUUAACUCUGAGAGGCCCAAAAGAUUUCCUUUGGGCUUGAACCAAAGCAAGAAGGUUACGGUAAGUUUCAAUUGCAUCCAUUGGUAAGGAUUGGGAGAUUUUCAACUUUGCUUUAAGUCUCAGUAGUGGCCCUUGCUCCCAUUUUGCAGUCUCAUCCAAUGCCGCAUCAGUGACUACAUGAGCCUCUGAAAAUCGCUGUUGAGCAGAUAAAACUAGAGCAAGCAAUCGCCAACCUUUUAAUGCGGAACCCCCUGUUUCAUCAAUGAACUGCUUUGCAUAGCGCAAAGCAGCAUUUAGAUUCCUGUGCUCUGCAUAUUGAACCCCCAACUCAAAAAUUAAAUCUGAAUUGUUCUUCUCCAAAGAAAUGGCCUCACUUAGUGACUUUAGUGCUUCAGACUGAAUACGAGACCUCUCAAAGUCAGAGGAAGAAGUUGUUGCUUGCUUCCCCAAACAAAGACCCAAAAAGCGAAGAGCCACAGCCUUUAAAUGUUCAUCCUUACCCUGAGAAUUACUAACAGCCCUCUGUGCAUAUCCAACUCCCUCAGCUGCCACAUGGGAAUCCUCACUGCAAAUUUUGGCAGCCAAUAAUAGUGGCAUGAGUUCAUCUGGUCGUUCAUGUUUAUGUAAAGAUUUCCUCAACAGAUUUAAAGCGGCUUUGUUCUGUCCUGCUCCACUAUAACACAAAGCUAGAGAAUUCCAACGAUCAACACGCGGAUAUACUCCAGGCAUGAUCUCUUCAAUUUGCUUGGCUAAUACAGAAGUCUGGUUGCAUAUAGAUAGUGCGAAUGUUAGAUGUUCUAUCAGUGAUGGAUCCCAUUUCAAUUUACCUUCGGACAAAUUUCUCAAAAGGAUCAUUAAAAGCAGGAUUGCCUCUUCCAGAUUAUUUUUAGGCACAUAUGAACCUUCAACCUGAACACCUAAGCUGGGUGGACCAGCCUCUAGUCCACUAUACAGCAGAAACACAGCAAAUGCUUUCUGAAUUCUUGCACAACAGUCAUUAUCCAGGUUCCACUGACCAAGUAGAGCACGUCUAUAAGCAGUGAUUGUUUCUUGAUAGGAACCGGCUUGUUUCCACAGCUCUGGAAGGAGCUCUACAGCUCGGCUGACUGUCUCCUGCAAUCUACUAUCCACUUGUGCAUCAGGUAUUCCUUGAUGGAAUAUUUUUUCCACGGCAUCAAGCACUCUUUUACAUUCAUGAGCAGCCUCUGCAAAAACAAAAAUGAAGGUUUGGUUUGGAACGUAAGUUAGUGUGAGAAACUAGUGGACCUUAGACAAGUCAUCAUCUCAAAUAUUGGAAUAUUGGAAGCUACCUGUUAAUCUGCCAAGCUUAUGAAGAGACUUGGCUUUCAAGUAUAUGGCGUCAAGAACGAGGGUAGCAGCAUGCUGCGAGACUGAAUGCUGUGAAUCAGGACGAGACCUGCCUUUUUUAGAAGGUGUUUUCUCAGCAAUAGAAGGUUGCAAUCGCUCUAUGGCCGCUUGGAGAUCGAUGCCAUCAAACACACGAAGAGCACCUUCAAGAUUACCUCUUUGGUACUCUAACUUUCCAAGGAGGGCUCUUGCUUCCUGUAAAUUAGCAUGAAUCAAGUUUUUUCAGUUGUUCAAGUAAACAAAAGAUCAUUACACAGAACUCUGAUCUCUCCUUACAGCUGCACCAAAAAUGGGUUUAACUAUGCCAACUGUUGUUAAUCCAAAUACAGACCAAGAUUUUCAAUAACAGAGCUGAUUAAACAUAAUGGACCAAUUAUGAUAAUCUAAUCUGAACCAGAUUGUGAAUUUUCAAGAGGUUAGGCAAAAUUAGGUUUGACGCAUUAAAUAUACUCUCUCAAUAAAAUCAAAACAAAUGAUAACAUAUGAUUAUAUGAUUUUUGUGGAGGAUGGAGCCAAAUGAGUAAAUAUGAUAUGUUCCCAAAAACAAGCAGGCAGGAGAGUAUCAUCCAGAUUUCAAAGACAAUUCUGAGAAAAAUGGAGACCUUUACACGAAGAUUUAAUGCCAUGCAAUGAGAAUGCACUCUAGCAGAUGAAGUUUGCUUUUCUCCAUCUGCUUAUAAUUCAUGAUAUCACCAAUGUUUAAACCACAAUCUCACAAUUUCCACUGUCCUUGGAAGGAGGAGUUACUGCCAGUUCAAAGGGCCAUGAUAGGUUUACUUUCCCUACCAGGAUGAACAGAAGAAAAGUAUGCAUAAAAUUACCUCAAAAUUGAGUGAUAACCCUUCUCGUAAUGAAGAUUCUGCCUCCUGAAUAUUUCCUUCAUCCAGCUUGGCUGCGACAUCAGUUGCUUUCAUUGAAUUCCCAUUAGCAGAGAAUUCAACCACCAUGCCUUCCUCAUACUCGCCAGAUUCCAUGGUCUGGCUCCUUAUACCUCUUCCCCCACCCUUUCUCACAGUUUUCAGUUCUGUCCAAUCAUUCUAUCCAUUCAACACUUAAGCUAACACGCAUAUAAAAGCUGCAGCCAUAAGCCAAACAGUACAUUAGUUAAAAUAGAGAAAACCAACUUCUGUGCAACAAAUCCAGCUAACCUCAAACACCAUGUAAAGUAUUUUGUCAAAUAAUGUAUCUAUCGGGGAUGCAGUAAAGCUAUAACUUCGGACGAAACCACAACCUAUAAUUCACUAAAAGAAAACUUAUUAGAAUGCAAGAAAACCUAUACGCACAUCUCUAUCUAGACUUGAAAUCCGAAAAAUACAUCAAUGCACAUAAAAAGUCAAAACAGGUAUUGUGGGGAAGUAAAACUAAAGAUCAUAGCACAAACAUAUACGGGUCUUCUCCUUAAAAAGAAUCAUGUAUAGUCCUCCAUAAUCAACAAUGCCAGAAAAGCAGGAAUCUUUGGAUCCAAUAUCAUCAAAAACAAUAACCUCAAGUCACAGCUAAUCUUUGGUUGCCAAGAAAAUGCAGGACUUCAUUGCCAAACAGAAACAAAAUGCAAGACUUGGGAAUCCAAAGUCAGCAAAAACAAGUUCAGAAUUCUGGGCCAAAGCAGCAAAAUCUUUAGUCUAACAUCAAUUGCAAAAACACCACAUUCUGGAACACCAAUUAUGAAAAACCAAGAUUCGAAAUUGAAUUGCAUUGCAUUGUGUUGGUAGGUGAGAAAAACAAAAGGCAGGAUUGAAAAGGGUGGUGUUUGGUACCUGGGAAUUUGCCGGCGGAGAAUAGCAGGCGGCGGUUGUGAUGAGAUUCAGAUCAAGAUUGAAUUUGGAGGACGGAAGAUGACCGGUGGGGAAUCAGGGGAGAGAAUUCAGGGGGUGUUUGUGAUCUGAAUGUCGUGUAACUAUAACUAUAAACUCUUAUGCUUUAAAUUUGGAGCUACAGCCAACUAAUACAAACGUUGUUCGUCUUCUUAUUCUGUCCCCCUUUCUUCUCUUUUCUUUUUUAAAAACGCUUUUUCGAUUUUUACUUUUAUGUACUUUUUAUGGAUAAAAGAAAAAGAAAAACAGGUUAUGCCCCUAAUUUUUCGUUCUCUUAUAGACUCAGAAAUUUAACUUAUAUUAGACUCAAAAAUCCAACAUCUACCUUUUCAAAAUGAUUUGAAGCACAAUUAUUAACAGUCCAAGCGAAAGUUCAGAAGUAGUGACAUGUAAAUGAUGUCAACCGAAUCAACCAAAAACUAUGAUAAUAACAUGAUUAAACUUCAUUGUCAGAAGAGGAGGACACAUCCUCUGGUGGGUUUAUUACUUCCAUCCCUUUUUCCAUCCCAAUUUCUUCCUUAGAUAGAAUUGCAGUGAAAUAAGAUGCAGUUUGGUUGCUCAACAUUGCAAACUUUUUAGCAUGAAACCUAUAUGUCUAGAGUUCGAGUCUUACAACAGGUUUGAGGUUUGAGGGAGCUUCGGAUUUGUACUCCUGAAACGAUAGAUUAAUUUGGCUUUUCUAAGAUUCUCAUGUGCACCGUGGUCCGGACUGAGUGCGUAUUAACUUGCUAAAGAAGGCCUGCAAUUUUCCUUUAUUUACUUGGAAGUCCCUCAUUUGAUCUGAUUUGAAAAACCAACCCUGCCUGUAAUCGAAGCUGGUGCAGUUAGAAGGGUAACAACUGUUGUGUUUUACCAGUCUGGUCCCUCUUUCUUCAAAAAGAUAAGAUUUUUGUCAAAAAAACAUCAUAUACUCUUCUUCUGCUCAACACCCUCUUCACGAAAAGAGCUUGUUGUUUCAACCUCAGCAGCUAUGCUUUAAGCACUUUCAGAUACACAGAAACCCAGAAAAAUGCCUCAAGCCCUUUUCUUAAAGCCCUUCAUUUCUGCUCCUUUGGACAAUUGGAGGUAUGUUCUCUUUCAAAGUUCCCAUCUUGAUAAACCCAUCUAAAACCCUUAAACCUCUCUUUACAUUCUCAGCUUCUCACUUUGAAUUUGUUUUCUGGUAAUUUGAUAAAGAACAUGGGGAAAAUUGGUUUAUCUCUGAAAGUAUGUUACUUUAUUAGCUUUGGGUAGCUAAAUUAUUAGUUUGCUUCAGAAUUCUGAUGAACUUUCAUUAAUUUAUGCUUAAGCUAUGUGUAUGUGAUAGUUGCAUUUGUAUGGAAAUGACUUUUGUAGUCUGAUAGUGAUUUGUGUUCAUUUUGGUAUUGGCAAAGUAACAAUGGGAAUCUUUUGUCUUCAGUAAAUUGAAAGAAUGCACAAAUUCUAUAGGUGGCAAUGUCAAGAUGCGUGGAAGACUGGAGGUAGUUUGUAUGGGAAUGUUGGCACCGAGAAAGUUCUUGCAGAAAAGGAAGAAAGUAGAGGUCUUUAAAGACGCUGCCGAUGAGGCUGACCAGAAGAACUGGAGGAGACUGAUGAAUGAAAUUGAAGAGAAGGGUUCCGCUGUUACAGUGCUCAAAAGUGAAAAGCUCAAAAAUAAGAUGAUACCUAAGGAUGUUGUUCUCGGAACGUUGGUUAGAUUCAAGCAAUUGAGGAAAUGGAACCUUGUUGGUGAGGUAUGUGGACUUGCCUAAUUGUUGUUCUGUGACAGAUAAGAUAUGGAUACUUUUUUAAAGUCAGUUGGAUGACACGUUGUAGCGAUGUUAGUUAACUCAUAUAUGCUGACUUCAUCCGUAGUUUAUGUAAAAAGUACACAGUUUUCAUUUUCUGUGUGCGGUAGUAUGAUAUUUCAAAUGGUGGGGCAGUUUUUGUAUAUAAAUGUAGAAACUGCACACAUGAAUUGUAUGAUUAACCACAUAGAGGACCCUGCAAAGUAUUGACAACAAAUUCAAAUGGAUUGCUUGCAUAGGAAUUAGGAUAUACUACAUUUUGUUUCAGUCAUUCUGCUACAUUAUUGUAUCUCUGGACUCAUUUCUGCUAAAUUAUUCAAUCUCUGGACUCAUUUCUGUUAGUCUUUAAGUUGCUUCGAUGCUUAUAUUACUUGCUUAGCUCACAUCCUUUUGUCUUCUAGAUUCUUGAAUGGCUUCAGACUCAGGACUGGUGGGACUUCAGCGAAAUGGAUUUUCUGAUGCUUAUAACAGCUUAUGGGAAGCAAGGCAAGUUCAAUAGGGCUGAGAAGGUUUUAAGCUUGUUGAAUGAAAAGAGCUAUGCACCAAGUGUAAUAUCGCAUACUGCUCUUAUGGAAGCAUAUGGAAAAGGAGGCCGCUACAACAAUGCUGAAGCAAUAUUUCGGAGAAUGCAGUCUUCAGGGCCUGAACCAUCUGCUGUGACUUAUCAGAUCAUACUAAAAAUAUUCGUUGAGGUAAUGUUUACAAAACCAUAUCUUAUGUCAAAACUUUCUUCACUCGUUUGCUGUUGUUGGACGCUUUCUACCUUCCUCAUCACAGUAACUCAAAAUACUGCAGGGCUGCAAGUUUCAGGAAGCUGAAGAAAUCUUUGAGACCCUUUUAGAUGACGAAAAGUCACCUUUAAAGCCAGACCAAAAGAUGUUCCACAUGAUGAUCUAUAUGUUUAAGAAGGCCGGAAGUUAUGAAAAAGCUCGUAAGAUGUUUGCAGUGAUGACUGAGAGAGGGAUUCGGCAAUCAACAGUUACUUAUAAUAGCUUAAUGUCGUUUGAAAAUAACUAUAAGGAAGUGUCAAAGAUGUACAACCAGGUAAAUCUCGUAAAAAAUCUGAUUUAUUAUUCAUAUAUCUGGGUAGAGCAUGCUUUCGAAUUUAUAGAUUGUAAAGUUGCUAGUUUCCUGAUCUGUUGUUUUCUACAUCAUUGGCCAGAUUGGAUUGCGAUUAUAUAGAAGAAUGAGCUGUCAUGCUGAUUUAGAAUUCUACUAUCAAUAGUUUUAGCAUUAAAAGGUUUUAGUAAGAAUCAAUGCUUCGACCUCUCACUGCAUGCUACCUAUGCUACCUAGUUUAUGAAGUUGUUAUCACCUAUCUUUUCUUCUGUCACAUAAAUUGAUAAGUUCUACGUCAGUUUAAUAUACCCUUCUUGUUUGCUGCAAUUCUAUAUAGACGAUAAUUUCCCAUAGAUAAUAAAGAUGGCUUGAAAGUCUUUUUUUUAUCUCCUUCCCCCAUGCUUACCAAAGUUGAACCGUCUGGCCAAGCCACCAGACUCUCCAAGAUCUUUAUAUCUUAAAAUACUACUGAAGUAAUUUAACUUUAUUAUCAAUAAAAGAAGUCAUACGAAACUGAAGUAACCUAUUAACGACAGAUGCAGAGAGCUGGUCUCCGACCUGACGUAGUGAGUUAUGCCUUACUCAUAAGUGCUUAUGGGAAAGCUAGAAGAGAGGAAGAAGCCUUGGCUGUUUUCGAGGAAAUGCUUGAUGCUGGUGUCAGGUAUGUAGGCUUAAAGCUAUCUAUUUAAAAGUUAUAAAUGAGAGGAAGUUUAGUUUAUAUUUCAAAGUUAUAUAUGUGUCAUUACUUAUUUAUAUCUUUAAUUAAUUGUGGAAUUGAGAUUGGAGAUUUUAGAUUGUAGAUGAGUAGGGACAAAAUUAGAUUUUGGCGUACCGGUAAUGGUGGAGUGUUCCCCAACCAAUAGACUGUUUUUAUUGCUUUCUAUGUUCAACCAUAACCUAACCUGUCACCAUAUAGCAAAUAUUUCCUCUGCAUGCAAUGGAAAUUGCUGGUUGCCUUGGUUUCUUCAUCUGUUUGAAGCUAGGGCAUCAGUUUCUCAUUCUGGCUUUUACACCAACCUAAGCUGGUGGAAAGUGGCCAAACUCUUGCUGCCAAUGUGAUGGCAUUAUAUAGAAUAUAAUUCCUGCUAUUUAUCCCUUUUGCAGACCUACCCGUAAAGCAUACAAUAUUUUGCUCGACGCAUUUGCAGUAUCAGGAAUGGUGGACCAAGCUCGAACUGUUUUUAAAAGCAUGAGAAGGGACAGGUAUACUUUUGAUACCUGCAUGAUGAUUAUGUUAUGUCCUGAUAUUAGCUGUCCCUUGUUAAUUUUCUGAUUCCAGAAAGACAAAAUAGUGCUAUUGUGCCUAUUAAUGCUAUCUGUUAAGAGUAAGACAUGUCACUAAAAAGUUCACUCUCUGUCAUCAGGCUAACACUUCUCUGCAUAUUUUGUUUCGGCAGGUAUGAACCCGAUAUUUACUCGUAUACCACUAUGCUGUCUGCUUAUGUAAAUGCACCUGACAUGGAGGGUGCUGAAAAAUUCUUCACAAGACUAAAGGUAGAUGGAUUUAAACCCAACGUUGUCACUUAUGGAACCUUAAUCAAAGGGUAUGCUAAGACAAAUGAUAUCGAGAAAAUGAUGGAGAAGUAUGAGGAAAUGCAGGCAUGUGGUGUCAAACCAAAUCAAACGAUCUUGACAACCAUAAUGGAUGCAUAUGGCAAGAACAGAGAUUUUGGGAGUGCUGUUGUUUGGUACAAGGAAAUGGAAUCUUGCAGGCUUCCUCCUGAUCAGAAAGCAAAGAAUAUCCUUUUAUCUUUGGCAAAAACAGCAGAAGAACAACAGUUAGCUAACCAAGUUGUAGGAUACUUGGAUAAUAGUAGCAUUGAAAACCUUCUGUCAAUCUCUGUUAAUGAUAAUGAUGAGGAUGAAGAUAAUGACGAAGACGAUGAAGACGACGAAGAUGACGAUGAAGACGAUGAAGAUGACGAUGAAAGUUAUGAAGAGGAAGUCGAUGGUCCUUCACCAGUCGCUUCAUCAUAUGACGAUAAACAAGAACAAGAACCUGAGCUGGUUUAUUUAAACGGUGAUGCUGAAAAAAACCUCGAGGACUUGCUUACAGUGGCUGAAUUGUAAAGUUGGGAUCUUCUCUUUUGUGGUAUAGUCACAUUACUUAGCGUUCAUUGUUAAUUCAACAAGGUCAAUUGAGAUUAAUACGUGGGAAUUGAAUCAUUCCACACUACAUUUUGGCAUUUAAGCAAAGUGACCUUACUGUUUAUUUUUUGAUGGUCAGUCUAGUGAAAGCACUGCACCCGCGAGAGUGAAAUCUGCAGUUUUGGAUUUCUUUCUGUAUCAAUUGCAAAGGCUUGUGAUUCAAAGUGUCUGGUGUGACUUCCUUGGAGCAAAAGCUUGUAGUUUCGGAGGCUUACAAGUUACAAGUCCACUCGAUAGAGCACUUUUCCUUGGCAUCCACAACAAGAGACUGACUCUUACCUUCCCCCUCAAAUAAUGAAAUGGAAAAGGCAAGGCAGUUUUGAAAGCAGUAUCUUGCUUUAAAAUAAGUACUGCUGCUGUUCGUUAAAAAAAUACGAGGGUCUCCUAAAACAAUUAAAAUUGGCUACAUCUGACUGGUUACAGGGACAAUGUUUAAUGAAAGAAGACAUCGCAUUGCACCACAUGAAACUCUGGUAAAAUGAGGUUUGAACCGUGUACAUUCAUAGACUCAUACGUCGUCUUCCUCCAAGAGCAAGUGCUCUACACUUGCAGAUUUCUUCACUCUCUCAGCUGCAUUUACAACCUACAAAAACAAGAGCGUGAUCAAAAUCGUUGGUCACAAUCUGGCCAAAUUCAGUUCAUAUGUACUGUGUAUUCUUAUGGUAAGAAACUUUCAUCGAAAUUUAAGUUACCUGAGCAUCCCAAUUGGUUCUGGCAGUGAGAACAAUUAGAGUUGCUGUCUGCAAAAAUACUCCAAUAAUCAUCCCCCACCAAAUACCCUGAAAAAUUAAGGCAAAAAAUGCAUUAUUUUCAGUAGCAUUUACAAUUAACUGUACUGAUAAGAGUGAGGUAGAGUCUCAAAUACUUACUGCUACUCCCAUACUAGUUUUGAAGGCAAGAACACACCCUAUUGGAAGACCGAUAAUAUAGUAACAAGUCAGAUUCACAUAAGCUACAACACCUUGCCAUCCACUUCCAAUUGCAACACCUGAAAUUCAACAUAUCAAAAACUAGAAAUGGUGCCUAACUGAGAUGUUUUUUCUACCGAGUCUAGCAUAUACUGUCAAUACCUGAGAGUAUAGGUUGAAUGCCAUUCAGGAAAACAGAAAUGGCUAGCAAGGGGGUCAAAUUAGACACUGCCUCAAUAACCUCGGCAUCACUCGUAAAUAGCCUGCUCAAUCCAGCUUUGAAUAUUAGCACAAUAGCACUGAACACUAUGCUAAUUAGGAUGCUGGUACCAUUCACUACAAACACCGAAAAUUUGGCCACCUUUGGAUGACCAGCACCUAGCUCAUUACUCACUCGAACACUGCAUAAGCCCAAAUCGAUUGCAUUAUCAGUAAAAGACUUCUAAUACAUUUUUGUCAAGGAAAUGUUGAAACCUUAAGAUUUGUCACAAACCUUGCAGCAGCAGCAAGGCCUAGCAUAAACUGCAUGUCCCAGUUCAAGUAGUUCAUGCUGGAAUCAUAUAGAAUAUGUAAAGUUAGAUAACAACCGAGUUGAACAACUGAUCAGAUUAACUGAGGAAAGUACAUUUGUACAUACCAGAUAGAUAUGGAGUCCAGUGAAAUUGUAGGGUUGGCUAGGAGCCCUGAUAUAAGCACUAACCCUUGAUUGUACCAAAUCUCCAAACUACAUUGAAGCAUUACUAAACUCAGUUUUAUGAGGUCAACAAAAAGAACAAUAUAAAAAACUUGAAAUGUACAUAGCUACAUACAUAGUUACAUACCACAACAUGAUAGCAGAAGCAAGAGUGAGCUUAAAAUAAGGCCAAAUUCCGGAAAAGGCUUUCCAUGAGAAACCAGUCCAAGUUUCCUUGCAGUUGGGGCUUACUAGAAUGUAAAUCCCAAACGUAAUCACAAGCAACCACCAAGAAAAACUCAGUGUAAGAGAAGCACCUAUUAGUCCAUAGUCCACAACGUAAACCACCAACCAAGUGAGAAGAGUGUGGAGGAGGAAAACUCCAAUGGACAUGUAUGCCAAAGGGUGCACUAUUUUCUGUGCCUGAAGGAACCUCCGUUGAGGGCAGUUUAUGGCAAAUGCAUAGAGUUGAGGGAUUAAGCCGCGGGCAUAGAUUUGACCCUGUUCUGCUAUGCUUUCAGUUUGGCCCAUGGCCACUAGUAUUGGACCUGACCACCAGUACAAAAAUGUAAGGAGGAUUGCUGCUCCCAAGUGCAAGAUGAUUGCUCUUUGGCAUAUGAUCCCCAUUGCUCCCAAGUGUUUGGCUCCAUAGGCUUGCCCACAUACAGUUUGUACAGCACUCGCCAUGCCCAACUUGAAACUCAAAGCAAGAAAUAAAAUCUUUUAGCUCAUUUUAGACUAAAAGAUUAUUGAGUAAUGUAAAACAUGUAAAACACAUAGAGAUGAAGAACUGAAAAUGAGUUUAGCUUACAUGAUUCAUGUUUUGGAUGGUUGUAAGAGACCAAAUAGUAUCAAUUCAGUCAAACAAGUGAAAAACAUGAGAUGAAAAUGAGUGAUAUAAUUAGGUACAUUUGAGGUACAUACCAUAAUCCCAAAAGCAAGGCCUUGGAUUCCCACACUUGCAAUAGAGGCUCCAGCAAGCUCCAAUGCACCCAGAUGGCCACAAAACAUGAGUGUGACAAAGGUGAGCAUGUAAUUGAAAAUUGAAACCACAAUAGACGAACUGGAUAAAAUCCAUAGCAGCCUGGACUCCCAUGCAACUAGCCUAGGCCACCACCUCAGUGCUAUAGGCCUUUGCUCCAGAAACUCCUCAACCGCGGCGGAUGACAAGUCAGGAAUCCGGGAAUGUGAGUUAAGUCUAAGGAGUAGCGGCUGGUACUGCUCCGACGACCCCGUGGUUAUGUCAGCCGGCUGAGCCAUCACUAGAUGAUGUUGAAACUUGAACCCUGAAACUACGAGUGUAGUGUACACAAGGAAGCAGAAGCAGAGACAUAAUUUCCUUAAAUCAUGUUACAUUAUAUAUGGUACAGAAAACAGAGCGGGAAAGUUGAAAUUACAAGGUCCAACUAACAUUCCAAAUUGUUAAGCACCAACCAGUGUUAGCAUGUGAUCUGCUAUAUAGCGAAGUGAGUAGCACGAGAGUUUUACCUACAACAGUAACAUAUCUUUGUUCAGAAAGUUCACAAAACCUAUGUAUGCGCAAGUGAAAUGAUAUAUCCAAGCACUGUUUUCUAGUUCAAGCACUAGUUCAAAGACAUUGAAAAUGUCACUACGUCAGCUUUGGGAUUGCAUUGUCUAAGAAGGUCAAAGUAAUCACUUUGUUUAUACUAGUUCAUGAAGUAGAAAACGUAACGUUACAUUUGGUUUCAAAGGGUUUCCGCUUCCUCCUCGGUAAAUGUCUUGGUACAAGAUAUGAUUUCUUGAACAACAAUUUUGGUAUAUUUAUUCAAAAUUGUGAGCUCCUCUGCAAAGAGGUUGAUGAGCACACCUAGCUGAAUUGUGAUUUGUUUUUCUUCCAGUUCUCUUCUUCACUUUCACCAUAGAUUUCAAAAUCUUAACCAAGGUAAGUCAAUUUUAAAGCAAUUUUGCCACAAUCAGCAAGGAAGGAUUCUUGCCACAUGAUCAUGUUGUUGAGAAUAUAUAUCAAAUCACAUCCAAAUUACCCAAACACAAAUAAGAAGUAAAUGAGUCAUAUAUCCAUUUAAAUAUCAAUUGCUGGAACUAUACGUGGUUUGAUCCCGAAAAGGUAUGUAGGCAAUCUAGAAUCAAAUAAUCUGGAUGCAACCACAUCCUAAACACUAAUCUCAUUCCAAAAAUCCAAGCAAUUCAAUGAGUCAUUCACUCAUUGGAACUAAUGAACCACAAGUGUGUGGCUUGAUCCCGUUCCAGGUACGUAUGCAACCAUUCCAAAAUUCGAGACGAGCUGCAAAAACAAACAAACAUGUACACAUUGAUCUUUUUAUGAGUGAAAUUGAAAGAUGUUUCCUUGUAACAAGUGAGUGUAAUUAAGAGGCAAAAUUCUGUAUUGAAUGAGUCGAACCCAAAAUAAUUAAAACUUUAUUCUGUUAGUGAAUAUGAGUAAGCGGAUUACAUAAGGGGUUACAUGUGUAAGCAAUUUUUCCUCAACAAACACUGAUAAAUUGAGCUUUGAACCGUGAACAGUUAUACUUGUUUACACCCAAAUUAAUAUUUUACUGGACAGUAAUUGUUUAAAAUGAAUGUUAAUUAAAUUCAUGGUCCACACCGACGAGCCUGAAUAAUAUUAGGUCUAAAGACGGGUUGCCUCGCCUGUAAUAAGGAAACAUAUAUAAUUAAGGAGUCUUCUUCUUGUGUUGUGUUCGAUUUCGCGAAGCGAGAUGCCUUCGCCAAGAAACAAGGCGAGAUGACUUCUCAUACAGAGACUCCGCGUAGGAGACCACGUGAGGAAACAGAGGUGGAAGACUUCGCAUAGGAGAAGGGGAGAGGCGGGCUCCGCUUGGUGGUAUAUAUAUGCAUAUAUAUCAAUUGAGAGAGCUAGCAAGGAAAGAGGCGGACUCCGCCUACAAUACCUCUAUUGGAUAAGAAAGCAAUAUAUAUCCUUAGUUAAGCAUGAUUGCAUGGGAUGGGUUCAUUAAGGAUCCUUAUCUUUAUUCAAGCAUGUUUGCAUGGGGAGCUCACGUCCACAUCUUCAUGAGUUUGGUUGUAUUGGUGGUUAAGGACUCUACUCCUUAAUUGUAUUUGCACGGGUGAACAGUGGCGCACGUCCAGGUCUUCAUGGAAUUGGUUCUACUCCUCUACAUAGUAGGCAGCUAGUUACUUCGCCGAGGCUUAAUCACGUCCAGCAAGUGAUUUACAUCGCCUACACUGCAUUUAUCGUUGAAGACUUCUACGAGUCUUUGACAUGUUUUGGGCCAAUACUUGUGGCCCUAAAUAGCUCUAUAUAAGAGAGUUCGAGGAUCUGGUUGACUCUCUACACAACGACAAUCAACAACUCAACAAAAAUACAAUACAAUUAUCGACCCAGUCGAACCCAGACGCUAAAGCAUUUCGCCUUAGCAACCUUUUUCCUUUCACGCUCCCUGGAGCUCUGUCUCUUUACUUUCCCGGCUCCCCGAAGUUAUUGCACCUUUUACUUUUCAAGCUCCCCAGAGUUCCCUUGCGUUCUCGUUUUCCUUUCCUUUGGUUGCUCUGCUCGCUACAACCGCGAGUAUCGAUAUUGAUAGCGAAUAAGCUAUUGUAAUUCCUCGUCCGCGAGAUGACAACGGAGCCUUGCUUUCGUUUGAUUAGAAGUAUAGGUCAACGCACUACGACAACAACCUUACUACAUUCCGCGUUCGCGCGGUGGCACGCCCCGCAUCCCUAAAAACAUUGACUGCUGCUGUCUCUCUCCUUGCUGAGGAUUGUGGCCAAAACAAUACUCAUACAUCGUCUUCUUCCAAGAGUAAAUCUUCUACACUUGCAGAUCUCUUCAACCUCUCAGCCGCGUUCACAACCUAUAAAAACAUAAUCACACAACCAUGGCCAAAUUUUGUUCAUGUCUACUACUCCUUGUGCAGAUGGUAAGAAACUUUCAUCAGAAUUUAAGUUACGUCAGUAUCCCAAUUGGUUCUGGCAGUGAGAACAAUCAGAGUUGAUGUCUGUAAAAAUACUCCAAUAAUCAUUCCCCACCAAAUACCCUGAAAAGUAAAGGCCAAAAAUGCGUUAUUUUCAAUAUCAUUUACUAUUACAAAAGCAAAAACUUUACUGAUAAGAGUGAGGUAGAGUUUCAAAUACUUGCUGUUACUCCCAUACUAGUUCUGAAGCCAAGAAGACAUCCAAUUGGAAGACCAAUAAUAUAGUAACAAGUCAAGUUCACAUAAGCUACAACAGCUUGCCAUCUACUUCCAAUUGCAAGACCUGAAAUUCCACACAUCUAAAAUUAGAAAUGGUGCCUGAAUGCGUGACUGAGAUGUUUUUCUACUGUGUCUAGCAUAUACUGUCAGUACCUAAGAGUAUAGGUUGAAUGCCUUUAAAAAAAAACAGAGAUGGCUAGCAAGGGGGUCAGAUUAGCCACUGCCUCAAUAACCUCAGUGUCACUCGUAAAUAGCUCGCUCAAUCCAACUUUGAAUAUUAGGACAAUAGCCGUGAACAAUAUGCUAAUUAGGAUGCUGGUCCCGUUCACUACAAACACCGAAAAUUUGGCCACCUUUGGAUGACCAGCACCUAGCUCAUUACUCACUCGAACACUGCAUAAGCCAAAUCAAUUGCAUUAUCAGUAAGAGACUUCUAAAUUUCUAUUACGGUUUUGCCAAAGAAAAACUGAAACGUUUUAAGAUUUGUCACAAACCUUGUUGCAGCAGCAAGGCCUAGCAUAAAUUGAGUGUCCCAGGCCAGUUCAAGCAGUUCUUGCUGGAAUAUUAGAAUAUGUAAAGGUACAUGAUAACAGUGAGUCAAAUAACUGAUCAAAUUGACUGAGAAUCUUAUAAGACACACCAGAUAGAAAAGGAGUCCGUUGCAAUUGUAGGGUUUGCUAGAAGCCCUGAUAUAAGCACCAAUCCUUGAUUGUACCAAAUCUCCAAACUACAUUGUACCAUUAUAAAACCUAGUCUUAUAUAUGAGGUAGGAAAGGCCAAAAACUUGAACAUGUAUAUAGUUAUAUACAUUAAUACAUAGUUACAUACCACAACAUGAUAGCAGAAGCAAGAGUUAGUUUGAAGUAAGGCCAAAUUCCGCAAAAGGCUUUCCAUGAGAAAGCAGUCCAAGUUUCCUUGCAGUUGGGGCUUACUAUAAUGUAAAUCCCAUACGUAAUUACAAGCAACCACCAAGAAAAGCUCAGUGUAAGAGCAGCACCUAUUAGUCCAUAGUCCACAACAUAAACCACCAACCAACUGAGAAGAGUAUGAAGGGCGAAAACUACGGCAGAGAUGUAUGCCAAAGGGUUCACUAUGUUCUGUGCUUGAAGGAACCUCUGCUGCGGGCAGUUUAUGGCAAAUGCAUAGAGCUGAGGGAUCAAGCCGCGUGCGAAGAUUUGACCCUGCUCUGCUAUGUCCACUGAUUGGCCAAUGGCUACUAGAAUUGGACCUGACCACCAGUACACAGGUGUGAGGAGGAUUGCUGCUCCCAAGUGCAAGAUGAUUGCUCUUUGGCAUAUGAUCCCCAUUGCUCCCAAGUGUUUGGCUCCAUAGGCUUGCCCACAAACAGUUUGUACAGCACUUGCCAUGCCCAACUUACAAAAUCAAAGCAAUAAAUCAAGGGUUUAAUUAGGUUAUGUUAGACUAACAGAAUGUUGAGUAAUGUUCUUACUCAAACAAGUAAAAAACAUAAGAGAUGAAAAACUGAACAUGAGUUUAGCUUAUAUGAUUCAAGUUGACAGUAUUGGAACAUUUCGAAUGGUUGCAAGUACCAAAUAGUUUCAACACAUUCAAACAAUUUAAAAGCAUAAAGAUGAAAAUGACUGAUAUAAAUUAGGUACAGUUGGGGUACAUACCAUAAUAUCCCAUAAGCGAUACCUUGGAGUCCCACACAAGCGAUAGAGGCUCCAGCAAGCUCCAACGCACUCAGAUGGCCACAAAACAUCAGUGUGACAAAGCUGAGCAUGUAAUUGAAAAUGAAACGACAAUAGACGAACCGGAUAAAAUCCAUAGCAGCCUUGACUCCCACGCAACUAGCCUAGGCGACCACCUCAGUGCUAUAGGUCUUUCCUCUAAAAACUCCUCAACCGCGGCGGAUGACAAGUUAGGAAUCCGGGAAUGUGAGUCAAGUCUGAGGAGUAGAGGCUGGUAUUGCUCCGACGACCCCGUGGUUAUGUCAGCCGGCUGAACCAUCAGUAGAUGAUGUUGAAACUUGAAACUACGAUCGUUGUGUACACUUGGAAGCAGAAGCAGACAGAAUGUACUUAAACCAUGUUACAUUAUGAGACAGAAGACAGAGCGGGAAUGUCGGAAUUAUAAGGUCUAUCUAACAUUACAAAUUGUUAGGGCAUCUACCAGUAUUAGCAUGUGCUCUGCUAUAUAGCAAAGUACCAACAACAGUGACAUAAUUUUGUUCAGAAGUUCACAAAACCCAUAUAUGUAUGAAAUUCAAAUGAUAUAUCCAAACACUCUUUUCUAAUUCAAGCACAUGCAAAGACAUUGAAGAUGAUCAGCUAUGGGUUAAUUGCAUUCUCUGUUCUUGUUUAAUAUUCAUCUGGGAGGGGACUGAGAUACAAAGGAAGAAGAAAACCUUUUUGUUUGUUCCAAUUGGAACAAUUAUUACAUACCACCCAAUUCAUCACCUCAGAUUUAAAGUGUGCCAUGGAGGAAAUCCAAUCUACAUAUUGAUGUCUGAUGAGAAAUCCAUGUGAACUUAUUUCAGUGAUAAGUUGUUGCGGUAGGAUAAAUAUCAAACAGCAGACAUUGGUUGGGUUACCAGUUUGAUAUCUACAGCAAACAUCUGAAUAGAGACCUAUUCCUAUGUAAGCUGGCUUCAUCUGUAAUCCCAUAUGAAAAAUUAGUGUCCUUUGACAGUUCCAUGGGGAUUUCUGGACAUCAGAGUAAAAGAUGAAAUUCAAGAGCAAGCUGACAAACUUAUUCAAGGAAAAAAAGGUGGAAAUUAAACAGCAACAACCACAGAAAACUGGACAACAGAAAGGAGGUUACAAACCUAUACUAUCAGCCACAAUGUUAAGAAUUAGCACACCACCAAAUAAAAACAAGAACCUGUUGCUCCACGGAAUAAAAUGUUGCAUGUUAACGAAAUGCAGCACAAAAGUCUCAAACUUACAUAGAUGCUAGGAUAGGUGAUGCACAGGUUGCAUUCUUGAUUCUUAUCUAACAUGAUCGAUUAGCUAGACAUUAGUGGUAGUGACUCAAUUGAUGAGGCAGUGCCACCAUCCAAAGCUGACCCGGUUACAGUAGUAGCAACAUCCCAAGGACAAGUUACUUCAUUUCGGACAUACUCAACUUCUUCAUGAUUUUGUUGUGUAUUUGAAGAUAUUACUGAUUUAUGAAUCACCUCCAACUCCAUUGCAACUUCUUUCAUGGUAGGUCGUCUCUUCCCAUUCAUAUCCAGACAUCUUUUUGCAAGAUUAGCGACUACCAAAAUAUCUUCUGUUACACCAUCCACCUUAACUCGAGCAUCAAUAAUAUCAAACAAAUUAUUCUCCUCCACUGAGAGAUUGAAAUAUGAAACAAGGCCUCUGGCUUCUUGUGACCUGGUCAAAGAAACUGGCUUUUCUCCAGUCAGGAGCUCAACAAGUACCACCCCAAAGCUAUACACAUCACUUUUGUCUGUAAAUUGACUUGACUGGAAGUAUUCUGGAUCCAAGUAACCAAAUGUACCAUGUACAAAUGUGGUUAGGUGUGUUUGGUCUAUGGAAACUGAUCUUGAAGUCCCAAAAUCUGCAACUUUUGCUCUGUAUUUAUCAUCUAAUAGUAUGUUAGUAGUCUUGAUAUCGCGGUGGUAAAUUGGAAAACCAGCAGCCGAGUGUAAGUAUGAAAGAGCUCCGGCAACUUCUGCAGAAAUCCUUAAGCGCAUUUCCCAUGUAAGUGGAAACUCUUCAUUCUGUUCAUGGAGAUACUGGUAGAUAGUUCCUUUAGGAAUGAAUUCAUAAACCAAAAGAGGAACUUCGGUCUCCAAACAACAACCCAAUAGCUUAACCACAUUCCUGUGGUUAAUUUGUGAAAGAAUGACAAUUUCGUUAAUGAACUGUCCCACUUCGCCUCCAUCAACUAUUUUAGACUUCUUUACUGCAACAAUUCUUCCAUCUGCCAACAUUCCUUUGUAAACGGUACCUUGGCCUCCUUGGCCAAGUAUUCUAUCUACAUUAAAACGAUCUGUGGCUUUUUCUAGUUCCUUUACAUUGAACAGCUUAAUUUUCUCAACAUUAACUUCACCGGAAGAUAGUUGCUGCUCUAAUAAUAGUCCCCCAUUUUGUUUAAAGAACUCCUUCUUGAGUCUGAUGUUUUUCCUUUUCUUCCACAGUUUGAUCAACCACCAUGCACAAAAUAGUAGAACUAAGAAUCCAAGACCACUGCCAAUACCUGCUUAGGUCAAUUAAAAGAAACGUUAGUUCGGAUACUAAAGAUAUAACUUCUGUUAGAUUGUGAAAACUGCAGCAUAUGGACAUCUAGGAGAAGAAAAAUGAUGAUAACCAAAAGAAACUCAGGAAAUACAUAACUGACCGUCUGACCCAAAAUGAAGCUCAGGAGUCAGGAGUACUGAGUACAUAUGUAGUUCUAUACUUCUAUUAUAUUGUAUUCAAUAAAAAGUUGAAUUCCAGAAAAAACAGAUCCUGCUUAAUAAUCCAUAUCAUUCUACAAAAAAAAAAAUAUAUGAUCAUCUUCUGUACAUAUAUAAGGAACUUACAAGUAUAGAAUUUAUACUAAUCUAGUACUAUUGUGGCAAUGAUAAAGUAACACCAUAAUAACAUGAGAUAAUAAUGUUUAGUUAGAGUUUUUAUUGAUCAAGUCUCUCAUUUCAUAGAGCUCAAAUAUGAUAGUUAUAUACUUCUAUGAAUGAUUCAAAUGAUGAUGGCCACAACAUACCUAUAAAGAUUGCUUUAACCCGCGACUUGCUGAUCAUGGUUUCUGGGUAGUGGCAUCCCCAUCCACUAUCACCUGGAAGACUAUUGACACAUACGCCUGGAGAACAGCUAGCUCUAUUUACUGGAUCCUCACAUUCAUUGAUAUCUGAAAAGUGCAAGAACAAAGUUAUUAUUAUGAAUGACGGUAAGCUACUUGCUCUCUAAAACUAAAUUACAGGGAUUCAAGAGAAAUGAAUAAGUGUUUCAUUCAUAAAUAAGUCAGAAUACUUAUUGGUAGGUAAAGCUUAAUUGGAAUCGUAUGUUCACCUCUGCAUCCUUGAAGAAGAUAUGGAUUUCCCUCAGAGCCCCAUCUACAGAAACAUUCAAGCCUUGAGGAUCCAUAUAGUGAAGAGCUGUCACUGUAACUCUCGCAAUAACCAUCUAGGACAUCAUAAUAGUCUCUCGUUACAUUUUCUGCUAUAAAGGUCCCAAAAACAUCAGUUGUUGAAUGGUAUAAGUUCCAUCGUAGCACAAUGGGGACUUGGUCCAUAUCACCGGUGGCAGAAAUAUUUGUUGAACUUUUGGCAAAGGACUCGAACCAAUCACGAUCAACCAAAAAUGCAUAACUGCAUGAACUUUUUGUGAGAUUAUCAUUAGCCUGCUGGAAACUAGUAUUGAAGGCACAGAGAGAAGAAGGGAUGACGGUCUGGCAGCAAUCCACACCAUUGCAGGUAUUAGGGCUGGUACUACUAUUUGUACUAUCAACAGAAGCAUAACAUUCGGACCUGCACCCAGCUGAAAUGGUAACGCCAUUUGAGUUUGAGGUGAUUGUGGCCAUAACUCCGCAACCUACUGCAGUGAACAUGUUCUUCUGGGAGAAGAACGUAAAAGGGCUUCCCUCCAAGUUGACUGCUUGACGAUUUGGCUUACCGCUGCAAUUAGAGAAGGUGAUUGGGUUUCUGACCCUUAGUGUGCCUUCAACAACAGAAAUAUUUAGUACCUCCAGAUUGGUGCCGUUCAAGUAAGGUCUAGGAGAGCCAGUAGAGUUGUCACAGAACACUCGGAACCAGUCAUCAUUGAUGUAACAACCUGCUCCUAUCCCAAAAGGGUAUGGGAUUUCAAUGUCUCCGCAAUGCGAUGGACAAUUAGGCUUUGCUAUGGGUAGUGCUUCUGAUGCUUCUGAUGCUACUAGUACUUCAGUACUACUCAUAGACCAUAGUAACAAAGUAAUAUGAAAUAGCAACUGGGCAGCCAUUCCUUUUCUUUUUCCUAUUCUCUUGAACUAUCUGCAAGUAGGAAGCGUUAUGCUAGCUAGCUAGAAAAACAAUCAUAUUAAAUCUUAACCUUUCUUCGAAUGGAAAGAAUAUAUGAAGGUAAAGAGACAUUGAGUUCCUUGCAACUUCUUGCCGCUUUCUUCUGUCUAUCCCUGAGUAGAUUUCCAAGGAACGAUUCCUGCUAUUUUUGGUCAGUACAUUCUAAAAAUCAAACUUGUUGAAAACAUUAUAUCCAGCAUUGAUUCCAGAACGUCGACAUUUCCUACCUUGUAAAUGUUUUUGAGUUUCUUGUAUACCAGCUGGUUGGUCUUUCUUUUAAGGCCUUAAUUUCCUAAACCUAUAUGGCUAUAUCAUCAUUUGUUUAGAUUAAACGGAAAUUGACUGCAAUUUACAAGACAUGAUCAUAGAAAAGCACUGAAUCACAACCAUUGAUGUCUUUUUUUUUUUUUUGUUUUGGCUGAAAGAUGAGUGAGAGAGGAAUGACCCCCUAACACUCUUAUGUAUUAAAAAAGAAAAAAAGAAAUAUCAACCAUUGAUGUCUUUUCAUUUCCACCUUAAUUAGUUUUCCUUAGCGUUGUUCCAUACUUGCAGCAGUCAUACAGUCAUACUUGAACAAUAUAUUCAAAGUACAAUAAGAAGGUACGCAUCAGUCAAAAGAAGAAAAUUCAUCAGAACCAAAAACAAUAAUGUUGAAAGCAACACUCCCCUUUUUUUUUAUAUUGACUUAUUGUUACUGUUAAGUGUUCAAAAUUCAUUUCUCCCCCUCAAAAAUUUUAGUGCUCUCUCCCUCUCUCUCUCUCUGUCAAACAGUAAGCUCUUGCACAGUAUAAAUACUAUCCCAUUUCCUCAAAGACUAGAUAAAACAGUAACUUAAUUGAAUUGAUGCGAGGCAAUGAUAUAAAAGAAGAGUGAAUGAAAACAAACGCUGCGCGCCAUGGCCAUGCAUGCCAACAGAUGCAAUCGUUUUGACAUGGUCUUCUAUCUCCCACACAUACACGCGCAUGCAAACAGACCCAGUCAAGGGAUCCACCGGAAGGAUCACCCCCACAGACCACAAUAAGAGGCUUAAGAGCUUCUUGGGUGGCGACUCCGUUUGCUUGAUGGUGGUCGUGGCCAGUUUCAGUUUGUUAUGGCUUUGGGUGAACUAGAAAGUGGUGCUCUUUUUCCGCUUUGGUGCCAAAUGGGCCUAUUGGGCGAGAACCCAGACUAAAUUUAUAAGCCCACAAGGGCGAGACCAAUAUACCAAGCACAUGUGAUGGCUAGGUUAAUUAGGAACGGGGCGGCGCAGAUGUUACCACGGCCGUAAACGUCACAACCCACUGGCCACUGCAGUACCGAUCUAUAUCUUCUUCUUGUUAAUUUACAUGGUAAUCUUGCUUUGCAACUUUCAGUGUCUGUUCCAUUCAACUUUUACUUUCCUGUCUAUAAAAAACAAUCAAGUCCCGCUUUCACAUAUAUUUCAAGUGUCAUGAAACCGGCCAGUCCUAACCCUACUAGGAAUGCAUAGUAGAAGAGAAGGACUAGUGAAAUCGGCGGAUAAUGACAGUACCACUGCAGGUGUUUUGUCACAUCCCGACCCUUAUAUUUUUACCUUAUUUACUAGCGUGAUGAUAAUAAGAAUUUUACCGUCUUGAUCAUGAGUAAAUAGUUUAAUUGGUCCCUAGAGGGGUUUCGGGGACGAUUAUGUGCGGAGGAUUAUUCGUAUGAUGAAAAUACGAAGACGGUAAAAAUAGUAAAUUUAGCUAGUAAAAGGUAAUUUUAUUCGGGUAUUAUUNNNNNNNNNNNNNNNNNNNNNNNNNNNNNNNNNNNNNNNNNNNNNNNNNNNNNNNNNNNNNNNNNNNNNNNNNNNNNNNNNNNNNNNNNNNNNNNNNNNNNNNNNNNNNNNNNNNNNNNNNNNNNNNNNNNNNNNNNNNNNNNNNNNNNNNNNNNNNNNNNNNNNNNNNNNNNNNNNNNNNNNNNNNNNNNNNNNNNNNNNNNNNNNNNNNNNNNNNNNNNNNNNNNNNNNNNNNNNNNNNNNNNNNNNNNNNNNNNNNNNNNNNNNNNNNNNNNNNNNNNNNNNNNNNNNNNNNNNNNNNNNNNNNNNNNNNNNNNNNNNNNNNNNNNNNNNNNNNNNNNNNNNNNNNNNNNNNNNNNNNNNNNNNNNNNNNNNNNNNNNNNNNNNNNNNNNNNNNNNNNNNNNNNNNNNNNNNNNNNNNNNNNNNNNNUAAUUUGGGGAAACAUAAAUGUUUUAUUUAUUAUUUUAUUUUUGUCCACUCACUCUAACGUUAUUAAAUGUUUUCCCCUGGGCCCUUCGUUUUAAAUUGCCCAGUCUGCAGAGUUCGGGUUGGAUCUAGUAGGAGACGAGGCAUAGUCACCCGCAUUUCUGCCAGUUUUCGCCAGUAGGUUACCUGUUCAACCUACUCGUGUUUUCUUGCUUCCGCUUGUGUUUAGUAGCUCUGAAUACUUUAGAAUUUUUGUAUAUUAUGCGAGGUUCAGAAGUGGUAAAUUAAGAGUGUAAUUUGAAAUUUUCGAGUUAGGGUUGUCCAUCUGCAAGGGAGAUUUUCUUAAUCUUUUCAGUAAAUUUUCCUUGGAGGUGGUCCCCGCACGACUUACUCUGGGUUUCAGGGUGAAAUUCGGGGUGGGUCGUGUCAUGUUUGUUGAAAUGCGGCACUGGGACUUGAAAGUUGAUGAAAUGGUAAACACUUUUGAGUUUGAGGGUUGCGAUUGAUUCGAUUGAUCUGAUGAGUGUUUUUUGUGAUGAAAUUGUGCUAGGCACUCUACUAGUCUAGUCUUGCAGUGUAGCAGGAGCUUGGAAUUAUCAAAUGCGAAUGAUUCUCAAAUCUCAAGUAAAGAAGGCGCACUUGCAUAUACUUGUUACUAUGUUGUCUCAGUUUCACAUGCUAACAACUUCCGGGGAAGAAUUAUCGUACUAAUUCCGUCAAUUUUUUUUGUUAGAAUACUGAUGUUAACGACCACGUCAGCAAUUUAAUUGAGAAAAUUGACGGAAUGACCAUUUAAAGAUGAAAAAUUAUGACUUUAAGGACCAUUCAAAUUAAAAUAAAACCAAAAGGACUAAAUAGAUGUCGACUUCAAACCACAAAGACUAUACAAUAUUUUACUCUAUAUAUUGAUCAUUCCCGUGAGUCUUCAGAAAAUUCUAGCUCUCCGGGAAAUGAAACUAGGUAAAGAACUCAAAAAUUAGGGGAAGACGAUAGACACCAGCAGUAUUCACUCUGUCUUGAUAGACACCAGUGGUCGCAAAUCGAAUGAACUUGUACCACUAGAUUCAGUAACCAUAGAAGACGAAACUGAUGUAGAACCAACAUCCCAAACCUCAGUUAUUCCACUUCGGACAUAUCCAACAUCUGAAGUGUUUCGUUGAACAUUGUAGUCUUCCCCUUGCAGUUUAAAUAUUGCCUCCAAUUCCGCUACUACUUCCUUCAUAGCAGGACGCUCUUUUCCCUUCAUAUUCAAACAACGCAUAGCAAGGUUAGCAACUGCCAUAACCUCUUUUUUCUCACUGUUCAUAACUCGAGCAUCAAGAAUAUCAGACAAACGAUUCUCCUCCAUAGAUACUAGGAAAUAAUGUGACAAGCUCAUGGUUUCUUGUGACUUGGUCUGAAAAAUUGGCUUUUUUCCGGUCAAGAGCUCAGCAAGGACCACUCCGAAGCUGUAAACAUCACUUUUGUCUGUAAAUUGGCUAGUUUGGAAGUACUCUGGGUCCAAAUAACCAAAUGUUCCUUGAACUUGUGACAAUGUAAGGUGUGUUUUGUCGAUGGAAACUGAUCUUGAAGUCCCAAAAUCUGCUACUUUAACUGUAUACUUAUCAUCCAAGAGUAUGUUAGAGGAUUUGAUAUCGCGGUGGUAAAUGGGAGUAGUAGCUGCUGAGUGCAAAUAGGAAAGAGCUCCUGCGACUUCUUUAGCAACUCGUAGACGUAUUCCCCAUGUAAGUGGGAAGUCCUCAUUUUCGUGUUGUAUAUAGUGAGAAAGCGUUCCGUUGGGAAUGAAUUCAUAAACCAAAAGGGGAACUUCCGUCUCUAAGCAGCAACCCCAGAGUUUUACCACAUUCCUGUGGAUAAUUUGGGAAAGAACGACAAUUUCAUUGAUGAACUGUCUCAAUUCACUUCCAUUAGCUAACAAGGACUUCUUUACUGCUACGAUUUUUCCAUCUGCUAACAUUCCUUUAUAAACAGUGCCUUGCCCUCCUCGACCAAGUAUUCUAUCUGCAUUGAAACCGUCUGUGGCUUUCUCUAAUUCCUCCGAGUGGAACAAUUUAAGUUUUUCAAUACUAGUUUGAUCACCAGAAGAUGAUUGUUGCUGCAACAAUAAACCACCAUUUUGCUUAAAAAAUUUCUGCUUCCGCUUGAUGUUUUUCCUUUUCUUAAUGACUUUGUACGACCACCAUGUACCACCAUGUAGAAACAAUAAUCCAAGAACACAGCUGAUAACUGAAGAGAUCAACGAGAAAACAAGAAGGAUAACUUGGUAAGGGAAUUUUUAACAAUGAAAACUCUCUUAAUUCGCAAGAUUUAGAAAGGCAUACCUAGAAUGGCCACUUUAAGCCAUAAUGGACCACAAGUAAUUGGAUCCUCGCAUUCAUCAACGUCUGACAUUUAAAAGUUCAAGUUAAGUGAUUGCAGGUAGAAUAAAUAAUGUAUGUUGUUUUGAUGCAAACCAUAUAUUACUUCCAAAACAACAGAACUAUAAUUUCUGCAUAUAUACAAUGUAAAUGGUUUACCUCGACAUCCAUCGAUAAGGUAGGGGUUUCCCUGAUAACCUCGUGAGCAGACACAUUGAUGAGCACUUGUGCAGUUCAUGGUCGAAUCAUUGGUCCAAUCAUGUCUUCCAUAUAUUUGCACAGUUGAAUAACGAUUCAAGUUCCAAUCGAGCAAUACAGGGAUAGACAUAACAUUCUGGAUGGAAGAAAGACCGGUAGAAUCAUAAACCCACGACUCUUGGUCUACCAGAAAUGCGUACUUGCAACUUUCCGUUCCAGGGGUGGUUUUGUUUGAUGCUUCAAAGGUGUAGUUGAAGGCAGUAAGCUCCGGAGGAGUGUUGAUCUGGCAGCAGUUAAUACCAUUGCACCUAUCAAGAGUAUCCGGAAGUUUGCCACCAUCACCACAGACGGAGGGGCAGCUAGCAACUCUUGAACCGUUGUCGAGCGUCAUCCAGGUGGUACCGCCGCAUCCCAUUACAGCGAGUCUGUUUUUCUGGGAGAAGACAAACGGGCUUCCACUCAAGUUUGCUGGUUGGCCACUAUUUGGCCAAGGACAACCACAGAUAGGAUCAAGGAAGGUAAUGGGGCUCCUGACCGUUAGUGUGCCUUCAACAGAAAUAUUGAGCACCUCAAGGCUCAUUUGCUUUUCAGGGUACCAAAGUGUGGGAGUGGGAAUGCCGGUGAAGUUGUAACACUGGAUUCGGAACCAGUCUAUGUAACAACCUUCUUCAAUUCCAAAAGGAUAUGGGAUUUGAACAACUCCGCAAUUUGGUGUACAUUUAGGCUUUGCUAGAGUUACGGCUUUUGCACUAGUACUCGUAGGCCACAAGAACAGAGUGAUCACAUGAAGCAGAAACAGAACAGGCACCAUUCUGCUGCUUCUUACUCUUUGAUAACCUAUCUAUAUUCUUGCAGGAAGAUUGGAAUCUCAAAAUGAAGAAAAUGAUUCUAAGUGCUUGAAAUCCUGUUUCGAGAUUUGUGUUUAUAUAUUGGGUUUUCAGAGUGAGCGAUAGUUCUUUGCAUCUUCUCAAAGGGACUAAUUACGUAGUCUUCUCAACACGAGUCACAGAAUAAAUGUCUUCAUUGGAAAUUUUUCUUUUGACAAGUAAGAUCGAGGUGUUCAUUGGAAAUUUCUCUUCCAUAUGUGCUAUUAUGUCAUCUUAUAUUAUAGGGAAGUAGUCAAAAUUCAAAUCAGUGUUGCAAAAAAUCAGUAUUCAGAUGAAGAAAAGUAUCAUUGGCCUCUUAAUUUGCUUCUUCUUCCUCAAUUUCUUUAUUUUCCUAUCUUCGGUUGAUUAGGAAGCCAGUUUGAACAGUUUAGCCAUGAAAAGAAGAUGACUCUCAACUAGCCUAACCUUCUUCACAACAGCUUUCUUCUUUCCAGAUUAUAACGGUGCAUUAUAUGCAUGUUGGAAAGAUAUAACCAUUUUGAGAAACUUAUAAAGAAUUCAGAAUAACCAACCAACAUAAUUACAAAACAAAAUCUCUAGGAACGCCCCCUCCCAGCUGAUCCAAAUGGAACACUGGGGACACAGAAAGGAUUUUAGAGGAAAUCUUUAAGUUGAAGAAUUGUCUUCAGCAUAUAGGGACUGCAUACUGAAAGUUAGGAUCAAUUCUCAAAUUAGGUUCCAGAAAACCAUAUGUUCCAUGCACUGGUGUGGUAAGGUGGGUUGGGCUAGAUUGUAACAGUUCUUGAAGUGUUCUACUACAAGUUUCCAGUGGACCAAUUUUAAUAGGCCAAUUAGGUUGAAUGAUUAAGAUGUGGAUGUAGUGUUCUGGACUCUUCACAUGAAGAAAUAAUUGCAGAGGUUGAUGGAUGUCAUAUUCCUACAGUCCAUUAAGCUGGGAAGUUUUACAUUGAAUUAGUCAUAGAUGGAUUGCGCAAGUUUAGACUUAACAAUUUACAUGAUGAUGGAGCCACUCCCUUCUGAUCUUUUUCCCCUUGAAAGGGAGUGCUGGAAAUAAACCCUCACAGAAAGAUGAUCAUCACUUGAUCCUUCAAAAACUAAGCUGUUGAUUUAUAUUCCAUUUUCAGUUUUGAACAGUUUGAUACCUGACCUGACUCCAUUUUGAAAUUUACAUUCAAAUGUUUUUCCAAACAAUUGCUUUGAUUUGUUUUUUCCUCCUCUAUUUAAUCUAAUGGUAAACAAUAUGAUGUUACAUAACAAUGAUAACAUACACCGGAGUAUAGUAAAAUUUCCGUGUAUGAAGUUCCUUAUAUGGUCCCCGCCAAGUUCAAGUUUUCUUCACUUGCCGAUCUUUUCAAGCGAUCAGCAGCUUUCACAACCUACAAGUGGAAGUGAUCAAAAGUACUGAUAAAAACUUGACCAAAUGCAAUUCAGGUAUAUGAUUUACUUUGUUAAAAAGAUGUAUAACCUAGGUUAAUUACCUCAGCAUUCCAAUUUGUUCUGGCAGUGAGAAUAAUUAGAGUUAUUGUUUGUAAAGCAACGCCACCAAUCAUCCCCCACCAUAUGCCCUGAAAAAUUGAAGGCCAGAUUUCAGAAACCAAGUGUAAUGCCACUAGUGGUAAAAUCUGAGUUAGGUACAGAUUUCAGUACUUACUGAUACUCCCAUAUCAGUUUUGAAGCCAAGAACACAUCCUAUUGGGAGUCCAAUGAUAUAGAAACAAAUAAUGUUAACAUAAGCCACAAUGUCUUGCCAACCACUUCCAAUUGCCACACCUGAAAACAUUGACUCAUGAAUGUCACACCUGAUAUUUCAGAGUCUGGAAAUUUUUGAAUGGUGCUCAGUUCUAUCAUAAAAGUACCUGAGAGUAUAGGUUGGAUGCCAUUCAAGAAAACAGAGAUAGCUAGCAAGGGAAUCAAUUCAAUCACUGCUUCGAUAACCUCGGGGUCGCUUGUAAACAGUUUGCUUAAUCCAACUUGGAAUAUCACGAUGAUCACAGUGAAGACUACACUAAUCAGGAUGCUCGUACUGGUCACUACAAAAACCGAAAAUUUGGCCACCUUUGGAUUACCAGCCCCUAGCUCAUUGCUCACUCUAACACUGCAAAAGUAAGCCAAAAUCCCAUUGUGAGUAUUAUUACAUACAUUCUAGCUAUGCCUAUAUCAGACCAAAUAUCUUCAUAUUGAGAAUUUGUCACAAACCUGGCUGCUGCACUUAGGCCUAACAUAAACUGCAGACUCCAGUUCCAGUAAUUCAUACUGCAAUUAUAUCAGGUACAGAAAUCAGAUAUUUUUUAGACUUAGAUACACCUGAUCAAAUUGACUGUACGCAAAAUCGGAAAUGCGACAAAGACGUACCAAAUUGAAAGGGAAUCUAGAGAUAUUGUAGGAUUGGGGAGGAGCCCAGAUAUCAGGGUUAGUCCUUGGUUGUACCAUAUCUCCAAACUACAAUAAUGCAUCAUCAGGAAAACAGUUAUUACUUUUUACUCGAGUUAAAACUUACAAAAAGGUUGACAAACAUUAUUUACAAGUUGUAUGCUAGAUUUGCAGGAUAGUAUAUAGCACAUACCAUAGCAUGACGGCAGAGGAAAGAGUCAACUUUAAAUAAGGCCAAAUUCCAUUGAAGGCUUUCCAAGAGAAACCAGUCCAAGUUUCCUUGCAGUUGGGGCUUACAAGAAUGUAGAUCCCACAUAUAAUCACAAGCAACCACCAGGACAAACUCAGUGUUAGAGCAGCACCAGUCAGUCCAUAGUCCACAACAUAUAUCACCAGCCAACUGAGAAGAAUAUGAAGGGCGAAAACUCCGGCAGAGAUGUAAGCCAAAGGGUUCACUACGUUCUGUGCUUGAAGGAACCUCUGCUGCGGGCAGUUUAUGGCAAAUGCAUAGAGCUGAGGGAUCAAACCGUGUGCGAAGAUUUGACCCUGAAUUGCUAUGUCCUCUGAUUGGCCUAUGGCUAUGAGUAUUGGCCCUGACCACCAGUACACAGGUGUGAGGAGGAUCGCUGCUCCCAAGUGCAAGAUGAUUGCUCUUUGGCAUAUGAUCCCCAUUGCUCCCAAGUGUUUGGCUCCAUAGGCUUGCCCACAUACUGUUUGUACAGCACUUGCCAUCCCCAGCUUGAAAUUCAAAGCAACAAUUCAACUAAAAUUAAUUAGAUGAUGUAAGUGUGUAUAUAAAUUAAGAUUGAUUGUAAGUGAUGCAUGUCCUUUAAAACACAUGACAUGCUCGCCGAAUAAAUAGAGUUUAAAUGAGAUAUUUUAAAUAGAAUUUAAAUAAGAUAUUUAAAAAUGUGAUUUAUUUAACAUUAUUCAUGUAACGUGUCAAAUUAUAAUAGACGGAAACUUUAAAAUAUACUCAGGUACGUACCAUGAUACCAUAAGCAAGACCUUGUAUUCCAACACUAGCAAUGGAUGCACCAGCGAGCUCCAAAGAGCUCAAAUGCCCACAAAAUAUGAGAGUGACGAAACUCAACAUAUAAUUGAAAACCGAAACAGCAAUCGACGAACCGGAUAAAAGCCAUAGGAGUCUUGACUCCCAAGCAACCAGCCGAGCCCAGUAUCGAAACGCCACCCGCCGCGGUUGUUCAAGGAACUCUUCGAUCAUGGCGGAUGGCAGGUCGGAAAUGCGAGACGUGGGAGAGUCGAUUCCAUGUAGCAGUGGCCGCUGCUCUUCGGAUCCCAUGGUUUCCAGUUGGUAAGGCGGAAUGUAUGUGUUAAGACUGUUAGUGUUACCCCAAGUAGUGGUAGGAAUAAGGCAUAUAUACGAUGUGUGGAUAUUAAGAAAAUGACAAAGAGGGCACCUACCCCCGCGAUUUGUGUUAGGCACACUUACCAAGGUCAUCGUAUUGAACUAGUAGAUCGAGCAAUUGUUUUAGCUAAGCACAUGCACGGACUCGGUCGGCAGAUAUUUAGCGAACAAACCUUUCUUAGAUUUGACGUUUUUGUUUAUUCUGUAUUGUCCGCUCAGUAGAGCAUAAUAUCAUGCUAGCUUUAGAAAUUCUUUACAUUGACUAAUGACUAAUGUUGUUAUUGUCAAAAAAAAAAAAUGACUAAUGUUGUUGGCGUUACAUUUCCCAGCUAUAUUUUGUGUUUUUGAAAAAUGUGGCUUAAAUUGAGCUAUUUAGAAUGCCCAUCAGAGUACGUGAAAGAAUGGUACGAUACACAUGCACUAAUGCAGUGUUUUUUUUUAUUAUUAUUAAACUUCGUACCUGAUUUUGAUCGAGUGUGGCUAAAGUGAGGAGGGUAUAGACGUUAUAUAUGUAAUUGAUAUUUUAUGAUAUUUACGAAAUUAAUUUUGAGUAUUAAUAUUCACUGAAAUAAGUUAAAGUUUUCACUAAGAUUUUUAUUUGAAGUAUGUAUUACUUUUUCAUGUAACUACUAAUUUUGUUAAAGCCGAAAUUUUGAACUUUUUUCAAAGAUACAAGAUCACCGGACAAUUCUUACAACUAACAGUCUAACAUGGAUAUCCCAAAUUCAUUAAUUUUUUUUAUUCAUACAAGCUAGAAAACUUUAGGAGUAAUUUAAAAGAAAAAAAAACUAUAAUAAAUUUUUUUUUUUUUUAUCAAAAUCAUAUGGUUUCUCAAAAACAUACUCAGAUUAGAGAUGAAACCUCACCAUGACUUAAGAGAACACCACCUCUCUUGACCACCAGUAUGUUUUUUUUUUCCGGGGGCGCCAACAUGAGCUUUAGUGAAUGAAAAUCCCAGAAGAUAUAACCCUAAUUAUAAUAACAAACCUCAUAACAAUAAUACAAUGAAAGGGCAUUAUGUAUAAAUAUUCUGAUUGGAGGUGGUGUUCUUGCCCCAAGUAAAAUUUUCACGACCGGUUGAUAUACUAGAGCCAUCUUAUAUGCAAGACGCUGACACUUGACAUGACUUUCAUGUCAUUGUCUCUCAACAAGAUUAAUCCUUGACUUUCAUCUUCACGACUAUGCAGUCUAUGCAGAUGCUCUCCUACUAAUCUUUGUGUGUCAAUUGAAUGGAAGGUGAGCUCUGGUUAAUAAGAGUAGUGCAAGCCGAUUCUAACAACAAGACGACAAGAUUUUUCAUUCUUAAUUUUACAUCACCAUCAUUUCAGUAAAUGUGCUACUUUUACAAGCUUGGUCAUCAUUUUAGUAAAUUUUAGUGCUACUUUUACAAGCUUGGUUUGGUUGGACUCUGCUCAGCUUUCAUUCUUAAACACUUCACCAAGUAUCUGUGCUGUUUGGCCAAAAGAAAGAGAAACAAACAAAUAUUUGUUCAGAGGAAGUUGAAAGGCAGAGGCUGAUUGUACAUAUAUAUGGUGAGGAAGAAGCUUAUCCAGCUAUACUUUCCAAAUAACAAAAUCCUGUUGAUGUUAACAUGACAAGGAAAUCACAAUUAGACAGGUUUGAUUUGUGUAGAAACUCAAAAGAUUAUAGCUAAGCUGGCAAGUCCAUUACUGGAAACCUUUUCCAUUGUAUGAAUUGACAUUGAAAUGAUGAGUAACUAGGAUAUAACAAGUGUUUGCAAUUGCACAACCGGAAGAAUGGAAGGAGAAGGACAGCAGAUUUUCUUUCUUUUGGUACCUGUGGCAGGAGGACACACCACAACAAUGAUGGCCAAAGGCCACAUUUGCUUUACCACAUAUAUUUGCAAAUGUGGGAACUUCUACUGUUUAGGGUCGAACCCAUCCCUUUUGGUAUUGCAAGUGAGACAUCGUCUUUUAUCCAAAAAAAAGUGAGACAUUGUCCCACAAUUGCAUGCAAUCGUGGCUAAGGAAUACCUGACAAGGCUCUCCUCUCUCUCCUCUCUCUCUCACCUUUCCGUGCUCCCACUGUCCCACACUUGUAUCUUAUCUAAUUCUUUUCCAAUUCUUGUCUUAUCUCUCUCCUUCACUUAGGUUCGUCCGCCUCUCUCUCUCUCUCGCUUCUCUUUCUCUCUCUGUGGGCAAGACAAAGCUCCGACCGCCUCCGAUCCGACUUUCGACUUCGAGCCAACGACCGCUGCGGACAUCACUUUCGUUUGGUAACUGACCAAAUUCUCGGUGCUUCUCUAUCUUUUUCCUUCCUCAGUAUUAUAUAUCUUCCCAAUUCUGGAUUUAAGUAAAAUUUGGUUCUUUUUCAGACUUGAAGAAAAAGAUGAAGCUUUGAGAUUUGGGGUCCAGACUCUUCACCGUCAACACCCACCCAUUAUGGAUUUGGGAUCUUGUUCAGCCUCAGCUAUAGUGAAAAAGCCCCAGCUCCUUCUCCACUAGUGAUAGUGCUGCUAAAUAGAUCCAGGAAUUGCUUACAUCGGUGAUUGUGAUUUUUGGGUAAUUCAAACCGGGUUUUUUUUUUGGACAAAAAAAAAACUGGGUUUUUGGUUCAAGUAUUCAUCUGUUUCUCUUUAUCGUGAUUAAAUUGGGUGAAUUUUGAUGUCAUAUAUUUAAUUUUUUUAGUACCUUGAAAUAACUUGGUGCAAAAGAACAGGAGCUAAUCCUUGACCUGAUUCUCUCCAUGUAAAGAUGUCAUUUUGUAUUCAUAUUACUUGGUAAUCGAUUUCUAUAUAUUGUUUGUUUUCUUGUCCGAUUGACAGGAAUACUAACUCCUUGAUGAACUCCUUGUAGGAAUUGAUACUAGAUCUCUACCAAUACUGGAAUCUCCUUGAAGAACUGUCAAGAACAAAGAUAAAUGGAGUUAAUUCAGAAUUUAAGGGCCCCUUAAUCAUCAAUUGAGGAUGAACUUAUAAAAUAAGAAUUAUUAAUAAAUAUUGCCCAAAAAAAUUGAGACAAUAUUAUAUUUCAAACCUGCCCAUAAAUGUCAGAAUUCAAUCAAAGCCACAUUUUGAUGUAAAUGUGGGUUUUCUCUCAUUGCCACACUUCUUGAGCGCACACUCCGAAAAAAUGUAGCUGCAGUGUGGCAAUGGGCCUUGGCCACACACAAAUGUGGGUAUUCAGUCUAAUUUUGCCGCACACCUUACUGUGGAUGUUGCUCACAUUUGUAGUGGUGACAACAACAUGUAUAUAUAUACUUUCAAAACAACAUGUAUAUAUAUAUAGUUUAUGAAUUUUGCGAGUAAUGUUCCUCCAGCUACAACAAAAAAUUCAUUUGUCGAAUUUCAUCUAGUUGACUCCACAAGAGAAAUAUGACUAUGAAAAAAAUAAAAAAUAAAAAAUCACUCAUACUUGAAGGACAAUAAAGGUUGUGCAUCUAAUAUUGAAGAACCUGUACCAGUACCACUAUCCAUAUAUGAUGACACUGUUGAUGAAGAACAAGCAUCCCAAGCCUUGGUCAUUCCAUUCGUUCGACCAUAUGCAAUCUCUGAGAAGUUUUGUUGAACAUCAGAAUGAGCUUUAACCGACAAUUGGAUUCCCUCCAACUCCACCGCAACUUCUUUCAUAGUAGGUCGUUUUCUCCCAUUCAAAUUUAAGCAUCUUUUUGCAAGGUUAGCAACUGCCACAAUUUCUUCUUCCCGACCAUCCCUUCUAACUCGACUAUCGAGAAUAUCGAACAGGCAAUUUCCUUCCAUUGAAAGAAUGAAAUGAUUUGCUAGGCUUCUCCAUUCUUCUGAAGAUGUUGGAGAAAUUGGCUUUUGUCCUGUCAAGAGCUCAGCAAGGACCACUCCAAAGCUAUAAACAUCACUCUUGUCGGUAAAUUGACUGGAUUGGAAAUAUUCUGGGUCUAAAUAACCAAAUGUUCCUUGUACUCGUGUCGUAAGGUGUGUCUUAUCUAUGGCAAUAGAUCUUGAUGUUCCAAAGUCUGCUACUUUGGCUCUAUACUUAUUAUCCAACAAUAUGUUAGAAGACUUGAUGUCUCUGUGGUAUAUAGGCAUGGAGGCAGAUGAAUGUAAGUAUGAAAUAGCUCCUGCAAUUUCCAUCGACACUCGUAGGCGCAUUUCCCAAGUGAGAGGAAACUCUUCAUUGUGGUGAUGAAUAUACUCAGAAAGUGUUCCAUUAAGUAUGAAUUCAUAAACCAAAAGAGGAACUUCCGUCUCUAAACAGCACCCCAAUAACUUAACCACAUUCCUAUGGUUAAUCUGUGAAAGAAUGACAAUUUCAUUAAUGAAGUUUCCUACUUCACCUCCUUCAAGUUUUGUAGACUGUUUCACAGCAACGAUUCUUCCGUCGUCCAGCAUUCCUUUGUAAACAGUACCUUGGCCUCCUUGGCCAAGAAUUCUGUCCACAUUAAAGCGGUCAGUAGCUUUCUCCAACUCCUUCGCAUUGAACAACUUAAUUUUUUCGACAUUUACUUCACCAGAUAACAGUUGUUGCUCCAACAAUAAACCACCAUUUUGUUGAAAAAACUUCUCCUUUUGCUUUAUGUUCUUCCUUUUCUUGAUGGCUUUGUGCAACCACCAAGCAACACCGAGUAGAAACAGUAGUCCAAGAACGCUGCCGAUAACUGAUUAGCACAGACACAGAUAAGCAUAAUUUGGUCAGUAUGGAGCUGUCCUUCUGAUUUUGUAAAGAAUUUAAGUUGCAACCAAUUUUACAAUUCUGUAAAGCCAUAAAAGUUAAAAAAUGAAUAGACAAGUUAUUGUUCCAACAUCCAAGUAAAGAAAAAGCUUUAGCCCAUACCUAUAAAAGCCAGUUUAACUGGGGACUUUCUCUUCGGAGAGUAACAUUCUGCGUAACCAGGAUGAUUCUUGCAUGCAUAGGUCACGGGACACUGCCGGUUUGAAGCCAAGCAUUCAUUUAUGUCUGGGUAUUGAUAUUGCAACACAAAACAGGGAGAAGAAAAAAAGUAAAAUAAAGAUGGUAUACUUUCUUGAUCAGAAAAUAAAUUAAAAAGUUUAUUCCUGGCUGUAGAACAAAAUCAAGUCCUCAAAUUAAUGAAAACUCAUCAUUUUGUUUCGUUAGAACGACAAUUGAUCUAUGUCACUCACAUAAAUGAGUAUAUACAUUUCUUCUCAACUUAUCCAUCCAGAGAAUAAUGUGCAGUGCUCGUGUUAUAUCUUAUUUAAAGCAUGUACUAGUAGUGGUGGUUUACCUUGACAUCCAUGAAGGAGAUAGGGGUUUCCUUCAAAGCCAGUUGCACAGAAACAUUCCAGCCUUGAGGAAUUAAAUGUUGGAGAGUAGUAGUCACUGUAUUCCCGGCAAUUAACAAAUCUAUCAGAAGCAAUUGAGGAGGUUCCAAAUACAUCAGGGAUCGAAUGAUAUAAGCUCCAGUCUAACAUGGCAGGCACAUCAUCCAUAUCACUUAUUCUAGCAGAUAUAUUAUUUGAAUUGUCAGCAAAUGACUGAAACCAUUCCUGGUCUGCCAAGAAUGCAUAAUUGCAUGGAUUUGUUGUAGACACGAAACUGGUGUCGAAGGUAGAGAGAAAGGAAGGGACAGAGGUCUGGCUGCAAUCCGAACCAUUGCAGGUACUGCUGCUGAUGGUUGCAUUGGAGGCAAAUCCACACUGGGACGAGCAUGUAGCCGAGAUGAUCAAGCCAUCUGAGCUAGAAUUCAGCCUAGCCACAACACCACAACCAACUACUGUAAAUCUGUUCUUUUGUGAGAACACAAAAGGGCUUUGCGACAAGUAGGCUGCUUGCCGAAUUGGCUUGUCACUGCAAUUAUCAGAGACCGUUAUCGGGUGUCUGACUUUUAGAGUUCCUGCAACAGAAAUUUCCAAUACCUCAAGAUGCAGACUGGUGUAGUUCAAGUAAGGUUUGGGUGGGCUAGUUGAUUGAUUACAAAGUAUUUUGAACCAGUUGUCUACAUAACAACCUUCUCCAAUUCCAAAAGGAUAAGGGAUUAAAACGUUUCCACACUGUGAUGGACAAUUAGGCUUUGCUAUUAAGGGUUGUUGUGCUUCUAUAGCAGUAAUAAUACACCACAAGAACAGAGUAAUAUGAAGUAAAAACUGCACAACAUCCAUUCUUCUACUUCUUCCUCCUCACCUCUACUGUAAUUACCUGUCUUCUCUCAGGUUCAAAGGUCGGAACUAGGUAGUAGCCACGCUAAUGUUUCUUAAAGCAUCAAUCUAAAGCCAAAGCCAACAGACACAGUAAAUUGGGGUAGCUAGAGAUUGUGCUUACUAUAUAUACAGUGGUCAAGGAUAGUUCCUCGCACGACUUUCCUACUGUUGAUCCUUUAUUAAGUGCUAAGUAAAUCAAGACAUAAAAAGCGAUUGAAAGAAUCAAUCAAGAUGGACACCGAGUGUUGUACUUAUUCUAGCAGCCAUGCUUGACAGACUCAAAACAGAAGAUUCACCAUGGUAGGCGAUGCGAUUUCUGGCUCUGUAUGCCGCACAUUUCAUAAUAAAAAUUAAUAUAAUUAGCUAGACUAUUCAAUCACUUACAGUCUAGAAAGAACAGUAUUUUUUUUUUUUUUUCUUUUCAAGGAGAGUUAGAAAGUAGAGAUUAAUACAAAAGUAGAUAUUAAGUAUAUAUUGGUUUCCAGUGACUUGAGCAAAGAGCAAGAGUAGUUGACUGGUAAAACAUACAUGUACCUGACAAGUCAAAAUCUCUGACAACUAUUACCCAUGAAGAAUCUGGUCUUCAUCUGAGACCCAUAAGCAUGGGCGUAGGAAGAGGGGGGCGAGAAGGGUCAGUUGACUUUUCUCAUACAUAAUUUUUGGUUAAUUAGUUAAGUGGUCUGUAUAGAAAAAUAGAAAUGACUCUCCUAUUAAGUUUCUAUAAAUGACAUUACUUUCAUUUCUAAUGGUAAUGUUUGAUAAAUUUCUUCACAGUUUCUAUAAAUACAAAGGAAAAAGGAAUUCAUAAUCGAUAUUUCUCUCAUGUAUCAAUCUAAUGAGGUAAUUUAUAAUGUUAGGUAUAAACCAACGAUUAAAAGAUUUUCUAUGAAACGACUACGUAUUGAUAUUUUGUCUUAAUUAAUUUAAGGAUUAAAUUAAGUUUGUCCCCUCGUACUUUAGGUCAAUAAUUAGUUUUGUCCCAUAUCUUUUUUUUUAAUAACGUUGGUCCUUGUACUCUCAAACAUCAUCAACUAAGUCCAAAAUUUUAAUAUGGCUUCAAAAAUAAUAUUAUUUGCUGACUUGAAACUGACAUAGGGAUCCACAUUUGAGUUUUUUAACCUACAAAUAGGACAAAUAAACAUUCUAACGAUGAAAAAAAGUCAUUUUUCAAGGACCAAACUCACCCAUUUUUGCAUUAAAAUUUAAAUUUUGGACUUAGAUGAUGUCAUUUGAGAGUACAAGGACCAACGUUAUUAAAAAAAAAGAUAUGAGACCAAACUGAUUAUUGACCUAAAGCACGAAAGGACAAACUGAAUUUAAUCCUUAAUUUAAUAGUCACUUAAGUCUUGACCCUUCUAAAUCGAGUUUCUAACUACGCCACUGCCCAUAAGACUAUUAAACCUACUGGUGCAUCCAGAAACCUGGGACUGAACUCAUUUCUUUAACAUAGCUCGGCAUCUCCCGUACUUGAUCAAUUCAACAUUAAGCAAAAUCAAUCAAAUUUCAUACCUUCAACCAAACACGUACCUAAAGAAAUAACGUUCAACGCAUGCAAUUGGGGUCCUGGAUUCCUCAAAUGCACAAUCGUCCAAAGCAACCCUCUUUCUGGAGCUCAGGCCCUUGUGGAGCCCCAACAGUGUGGAGAUUCCAUUUUUAACUCCAAGGAUUGGUCGUGAGAACCAAUUUAGGGGUUUUGAUUAUGAAAACGAAGACCAGUGGAGGUGCAAUGUUGACUUUUAUAGUUGACCCUAGUGGAGGACAGCUGUAAUAAUCUAGUUGGAGACUUCCUUAUUUUUCUCUUUCUUUCAUUCUGUGCUGUAAUAAUUGUUAGAGUAUCUCUAACUAUAAAUUGUUCUUCAGGCUUGUAUUCUGGUACGCUUUGCUUUAUCUGAAAAAAAUUUCUGAAAGGUUCCACAAGGUUCUCUCUCCUUUCUUUCUUUCAUUUUAGCAAAGCUUGAGAUUCUAGGGUUUGUUUGACCUAUGGCUAUGAUGUUAUCAGAUUAGAGCAGAGGUUAUGCUCAGGGCCGGUCCAAUGUUUUGAAGGACCCGGUGCGAGAAAAAAAUUAAGGCCUUUUGUGUUGAGAAAAAAAAAAAAUUUGAAAGAACACUGAUUCCAUUUUGAAGCCCCAGCCUCAAUUGCUUUCAAACCUCCAAGCUCUCUUCCUUUGCUUCUAAAUUUACAAACCAAUACAAGGAACAAGUUGUUAAAUUUAUUAUGUGUAUAUUCAAUUUAUGUAUAAAAUUGUAGGAAAUCAAAACAAUACCUUUAGGGAAUAGAACAAGAGAGUUUGAGUGUAUAAACAAAGCCAAUUAAGAGAUAGGAGUUGGGAAAUUUGAAGAUGAAGAUAGGAAGUAUGAGUACCAGGAGGAAACAGAGAGUAGAGAGACGGAGGAACAACGAUCAAACCGAGGUGAUCAAUAAUUGAAUAGGGUUUUUUUUUUUAAUUCACGACUAAACCUAAUAGAAGAAGGGAAAAAAAAGGAAAAAAUAAAAAAACUGCAGGGGGCCUCGCUCGAACUACUAACUUGCUUGCCGCAUCAAACAAAAACACCCCCUAAACCAACUCAACCAGACACUCAGUUUGUUAAUAAAGAUAAAUUAUUAUAUAUAUAUAAACUUCCACUGGACAAAAAAAAGGGGCCCCUUGCCGGCCGGGGGCCCUGUGCGGCGGCGCCACCUUGACCGCCCCAGGGCCGGCUUUGGUUAUGCUGAAUCCCUAAAUAGAUGCGAUUGGGCGGGUCGCAGGAGGAAGACGGCAGCAUUUGAGCGGGUAAAAUGAUUUAUUUACCAUACAAAAUGGGGAACUGCCACGUGUUCGAAGGGAUUUAGAAAACCGUAAAUUCUACUUUAGACCCCUAUCAACUGUAACUAAGGUAUUUUUUUGUUUUGUUUUUUGAGGUAAAUGAUCAGUGGUAAAUGAAUCUCAACCGUAAGGUUUUCAGACCAAAAAAAUCAACCGUAAGAUAGAAUACCAUAGUUGAGAUACAUUUACCUCUCACUGAUCAUUUGUCUCUUGAAAAUUUUCAAAUAGGUGUGCAGGAUUUCUCACACUUACUGUGUUAUGAAAUCUCCAUUCAUCAACAAUUAUAAAACGAUGACGAAAUAUUGAUGAAAUCUCAUUCAUCAGCAUAUAUUGGUCGUCUUUAUGUGUUAUAGCGAAACAUCGUUUUGAAUCUUAAUUAAUAGCAUGAAUCUUAGAUUCUUAAUACAUGAUGUUGUUAUUUUGGGUCUCUCCAUGCACUCUUUAUCAAAAUAACAAGUGUUUUUGGAUCAAGCUCUAAUUUCUUCCCAACAUAUAUGUCCAAUUAAUAUUGAUGUAUUCUCUCUGAGUUAGUAAAUUAUCUAUUUCCAAUCAAACAAAAAAGUAGCUAACAAAAGUUAUGUCUACAGUAAUUUCUUCAAUACCAAUAAAAAAAACAACUUCAGCUAGUAGUCUAGUACGCACAACCUAUUUCCAAAUUGUCAAACAAACAGUACUACAAGCAGAUAAAAGUAGAGAAUCUCUCAAACUGUAGCAGUGGGAUGAUGUUUAUAAUUUCAAAGAUUAUUCUAUUUGAUGUCUACAAACAUAAAUAACAAAAGUAGAAUAGUACUGCAAUCUUGAAACGUAUGUUCUUUGGGAGAAAUACAAAACACUACCUGACCACAUUUUAAAUAACAAAAUAGUCCACAAUAAUUUUACUUAAACAGUUUAGUCCUACUCUUUUUUUUUUUACUGUACUUUACCUAAAUAAGUUCUUAAGAAUUACUGUCCUAAGAACUAGCCUUCAACAUGCCAUCUUUUCACCUAACGACAUCUUGUCUUUCUGGUUACUUAUCUUGACGGAAUCACUGCUGCCUUAGUCUAGUAAAACUUCUUAAUACUUACUAGUAAAGAGAAAGGAAAAAAAAAAA
rnacentral:lncRNA from 1 species